AUCCAAGUAUGCUAGGGUUUUUUUUCUUUCAAGGAGAGAAACAAAACAUGUUCUUUGUGUUUUUUUCUUUAAUCUCUUUUGCCUCAUUUUUUUUUUCUCAGAAAUAAUCUCUGAGCUUGUUUAUCGUUAAAGCAAGAAUGUUGAUGGAAAUGGGUUGUCUUUGAGAGGAAUGUUGGCUGGCUCGAUGCGACAGCUUUGAGAUUGUAAAGUGUGAUCAAAGUAAAAGGUAUCAUCGGACCAGGCUUCAUUCCCCUCAAACAUUUUCAUUUUUAAGGCAAAGUUGAAGGAAAAAAACUAUGUAAAAGGAGAAACGGUUGAUGGGAAUGUUGUUUGGCCCGAGGUCAUAUAGGUUGAUCUUUUAUAUAUAAUUUCCAUGAAAUUUUCUUGGAUUUAUUUAAAUUUUCCGGGAAAGUUUCUGGAUAUGUGUAUAUAUAUAGCCUUAUAUGAUCUCGGACCAGGCUUCAUUCCCGUCAGCCAAACACUUCCUCCGACCAGUCAUGAGUUGUCGUUGUUUAGUUUCAGGCAAUGGCUUGUGGGGUUAAAAAAUGGGAGUAGUUUUUAAGGUGUCUUUUUUGUGUGCAUGGAAUCAUUUUGACACACUUGUCAAAGAUGCUAACAAACAAAGAUAAAAAAAACAGAGAUGCCAUUGACUUAGUUUUUAAUUUGAUGCCUCUUUUUGUGUUGACCAUGUCUCUUCUUUCCAUGUUUGAUGACAAAUUGUUCCUACACAUAAAUGAAAAAUCUAUGGUCUUUACUAAUUAAUUAAUGAUAAAAUCUCUUUUCAAUGCAUAGUAAUUAAUUAAUAAUAUAUUUUUUUUAACAAUUUCAUUAUAAGCUUUUGUAGUCUUUUCUUAACCAUUAAAUAGAAAAAUAUUGCAUUUCAGUGCAUUUGAAACCAUGUCUUUUUGUACUGGCAACAAUGCUCGUAUCAAUUGAGUUAAGAUUCAAUUGGCAUAAAUUCUCUUUUAUAAGUAGACUACUAUUUUUCUUAUAUCCUCUCGAAUAUUUAGGACUUACACUCGAGUUUUCUUUAAUAUACUUAAUUAUUACAUCCAAUAUUUUAUUGUUUUUUUUAUUGUGAAGGAUAAAAUAGUAAUUUUAUUUUUAGUAGCCUACAAGGAGAUAAGAAAAUUUGAACAUCAUCUACCCAUAUUGCCUUAGCACACAUGAAUGAAGUAAACCCUCACAUACAUGUAUGUAUGUAUGUAUGAGAAAAAAAAAGUAGGUUUGCCAUUUCAUGCACGAAUGUUCAGUGGGUAUAUCUAUUGUUUUGCUGUAUAUACAUACAAAGGUACGUACGUACAUACAUACAUAUAUACAUAUGUGUCUUUAAUUUGUUUUUCGCUUCUUUUGGUCAAGGUUGGAUAUGGUGAAAUUGCAUAGAAGUCUCGAAGAUGAGGGCUUUGAUUCCCAUGUGAAGUGAAAUGUAUAUCAUAUUGGGUCUUGGUUUUAUAUGCAUCAUUCAUGUUUUUUUUGUCUUUUAAGAAUGUAACUUCCGGUGCCCAGUAUGAUCAACUGAGCAGGAAAAACAAUGUAACUGAUGCAUUAACUCCUCUGUAUGUAUGUAUGUAUGUACGUAUGUAUGUUGCAUUACCUUGAUUAUAUGCUAGUGAUUAUACUUAAACUUCUUGCAAUAUAUGAAAAAAAAGAUGUAAAUAUAGAAAUUAAAUUUACAUUUAAGUAACAUUUAUUUAAAUUUAUUCUUAAAUGUGCUGAAUAAAACCACCACAAUAUUUCUCCCAAUAAACAAAAAUUGACAAUUAUGAUGAAUAUAAUAACACAAUAUUUCUUCAAACAAUACAAAAUCCACCACAAUACCAUAAACAAAAAUUUAACGCGAAAAAUCUUUUCAAAGUAAAGAGUAAAAAUCACGAGAUUUGAUUAAAAUUAACAAUUUACUUAUCCCCACUUUUCAUUAAAAGAUAAAAGGUACAGUGAGUUUUUUUUCCAUACAGUGGACCCCAGCUCAAUGAGUCUGAGACUUACUUAUCAUAUUUUUAAAAUAUGUUCAAGGUUAAUGGUUGUCCCUCUUAAUAAUAUCGUCUUUAAAAUUUGAUGUAACUAUCAUAUUUAUUUAAACAAAAAUAUAAUUUUAUAUUUUCAUAUUAUAUAAGUGGUGUUUAAAAAUUUCACAAGUAAAAUUAAAUAGGCAGCAUAUGAGUUUUUUUUUAAAAUAAACAUGUAGUAUUUAAAUUUAAAUUAUUAAAUUAAAUUUUUUAUUAACAAUUUAUAAAAUACAAACCCAUUUUACAUUUUAAUUUUAUUCAAAUUUCAAUUAGUUAAUUCGUGAAACUAAAUUUAACUCAAAGUUUUAUGAUAAUAUCAUGGGUGAAGGGUGUGGGUAUGGUAUAAGGGUAGAGAUGGGUCUGAGAUGGGCCUUCACUGUCUUAGUUGAAUGGAAUAAUAUUAGUUUUAGUCCCUUUCAAUUAUCAAGUAUUCAAUUUAAAAUUUUAUUUUGAUACCAAUACCAUAUAGAUAAGAUUUAAAAAAUUGCAAUAUUUUCAAAAUUCAUAAUUGAAGCACAAUAUUAUUUAUUAUCGCAAUCAAACUACUACAGCUUAGUUUUAUUUAAUGAAACAAUCAUAAAUAGAACUUGUGUGUUAACUUGAUGGUUAGGGUGUUUAUCGCUUCAGGUGUGGCUUGGAUUCAAGUCGUGUUGUUGUUGGGGCUUUGCCCUCCUCUAAUAAUUCAUCAAGAGAAAAGUAUAAAAUAGAAAAAUAAAAUUUAGGUCCCUCUUUCAUAAAAUGAAAAUUUUACACUUUAAUCCUUGCACUUUUUAAAUUUAUUCAAUUUAAUCCUUAUCUUAAUUUUUAAAAAAAUUAACAGUCCAGUGAUUUAAAUAGAAACUUUCGAAUAGUUCAAUGGUCAUUUUGUAACUUCUUGAAAUUAAAUGACCAGAACGUAAACUUACUAAUAAUUUAAUGACUCGAGUGUAAGUUACCCUAUUUGUUGUUGUUGUAUUCAUAAUCCUGGAUCCACCAAAACUUAAUCUGGCAACGGCAUUUCUCUUUUCUUGAAAAUCAAAACUUCACAGAGUACAUUUUUGGAAAAUAGGAUUCUCUUUGAUUGACUUAACUUUUUCAGUGUCUGGUUUUAAGCAGCACUCACCCCUAUUUGUCCCUUAAUGUUAUUUUCACAGGUCACUGCCCAAUCGUGUAUGUAUAUCUCGCAGGGAACCCCUCAAUGAUUUUAGAAACCUUUCUUUCCCAGUCAAUAGCCAUAAUGUGCCGAUCGCAGUUCAAAUUCAUUAUUAGACACUAAAAAGAACACUCUAGGCUAAGGUAAAACAACCUCUUUGUAUUAUACUAUACAGCCUUCUCACUACACACCAACCCGUAUGAAAAUAAAUGUCUGCUUUUCUUAUUUUUUUUUCGUAUUUUUGGUAUGUGACCGACUUUGCUGUCAUCGAUUAAUAUAUUUCUACUUUUUAAGAGUAUCCAGUUCCGAGCACACUAUUAGUUUACAUGGCUUUUGUUUUGUCAAGGUCUUCUUAAAACUGCUGCAGUUGAUUCAAAUAGAUAUGGCUGAUGUUGAUAGAGGAGAAUCACCUUCAAGGCUAGAGGUUUGUGUUUUUUAUUUUCUUCUUUGUUAGCAUCAAUGGAGUUUAGGGUUCUUUCUUCUACAAUUUAAUGCUUGUAUUAUUGAAUAAUCAGGGUAAGUUUAGUGCGGCGGUAGCUUGUUGCAUUCUUGGAUUUGGUUCUCUCAUCUGUUGGAAUAGCAUGUUGACAAUGGGAGAUUAUUACUAUCAUCUAUUCCCUGUAAGUAACUUCUUUUCCCUUAGAAAUUACACUAAAACAACAAUUACGUUUUUUAGUGACGAUAUAUGCUGACAAUAAAGAGUUUCGUCACAAGUAAUAAAUUAUUUGUGACGAAUUUUAUUGCAACACUAAUGAAACAAGUAAUAUCAUUUAUUUAGUGACGUCUUCAUAAUGAUUGUUGCAAGUACAAUUUCUGAUAAGUGAUCUAUUCUUACUUCCUGUUUUAUGCUCUAGAAAUACAAGACCAGUUAGCCCGAAUUAAAAUAUAUAUGUAACUUUUCAGUUGAUGAUGUGAUACAAUCUUAAAAUGUCAGAUUCAGUGUCUAGAUAUUGGUUUUUGAUUCAAUCAGUGCGGCUGUCGGACCAAUAAUAAUUAAAUGGUUAAUUAAAAAUUUAUAAAAAUCUAAAAUAUUUUUAAAAAUAAAAUCAGUUCAACCUAUUUAGCUGUCGAUAUCUUGAUAAGGUGUGACAAUUAAGCGAGUUUUUGACCAGAUUACUUUGAAAACCAUUAUGCUAUUGAUGGUUUCGGUUAAUCAAAUCUUAGGGAAAAGGUACUUUUUUUUAUAAGCGAAGAUGAAAGUUGGAAUCAUGUACGUGAAGGUAGCAAAACUUUGAACAACAUACGGAUGCUCAGCUGGGAUGACGGUCUAUCAGGACCGAGGAGUGAGCUUGACACUUGAGCUCUUGCCAACUAGCCUGUUUGCUUUAAAAAAGAUUAGCUUGCCAUGCAAGCAAAGAAACCAACAACCAUUUUUGUAUUUUAGACUUUUCUUGCUGCAAAAGUUUUAGAAUUUCAAGAUGUAAUUCUCAGUUAUUGGAAACAAAAUGCAUGCAGAACCAAAGCUUGAUUAAUUCUUAGCUAUUAGAUAUCUCAAUAUCACUUGCAAACAAUACAGUAGGUACAGAUAGUUAUUGGCUUAUCGAUUUUGUCAAAGUGAGCCAAAAUAUAGAAGCAAUGGUAGAAACAGAUAGAUAUAUCUGUUUUUUUUUCAUGGUUGUUCCGGGAAAACUUUUUGCUUUAAGAAAUUGAUGAAACGUUGAGCAUAAAGUUCAGGUUCAACAACAGAUAUUGACAAGGGAUCAAAUUUCACCGAUUUGCAUGCAUGCUCGGCCUUUUUCUUUGCAUUGUAUUCCUGUAAAAUGUCAAUAAUUCCCAUAUAGAUAACCACAUCAUAAACCUCGAAAAGUUCAACUUCAGCUGAAUCUGCUUCAUCCCGGGAAAGCUUUUGGUUAGCUUGUGCGGGCAUGUUCACUCCUAGUUGUACCUGUAACCUGAAUAAAAAAGGGGUCACCAACUGAAUAAAACAAGUCCAACAACAGCUUCUAUCCGUACCAUACAAUCAGGCUAUACACCUUUCUUUGUGUUGAAGGUUCAUUUCUUUUGUAGCCCUUACUAUUUGUUAUGUUAGUGACUGACGUAGCUCGGUCCAAGGAACAUGCAAGCUUAUAAGAAUACUAGGGUAUGCUAGAUAAUCAGUAAAGCCGAAAAUAAUCAACAAGUAUCAGGCCAAAUACUCUUUGUAUAAGGUUCGAAACAAAAUUUCAGUUGUGUAAAAAGAAUGAGAACAAAAGCAACUACCUUCCAGUACCGGGAACCAAAACAUCGACUUCCUUGUCACCUAGAGAGAAAGCUCUUAAGGGUCUUCCUCUAAUAUGAGGACCGGGAUCAGUGCUAACGGAGCUGGGUUCGUGGGCCACAAGCAACAAGCCUUUUGAAGGGAAUAACACUUCUCCAUCUGUAGUCGGACCUGGUGUAAACAGAACAUGAGUCGAAUCAGUUCAUCACAUAAACUAAGCACGAGAUAAUAAACUAUUCUGUUCCCACCCUAUUCCACUUCAUCACAUAAACUAAGCGUGUAAGAGCAGAUUAUUAACAUAAAAUGGUCAAAUCAGAUAGCGAUAUCUACCUUGACCUGCCGAUGAACUCUCAAUAUUAGGCAUCAUGGGAGGUUUUAGCAGGCCAUUUAGUUGCUCAGGAGCUCUAAAAUGUAGCCCCAAUAGAAGGCUAUAAUCAAUUAUAUGCUGAGAUUUCAAGAAAUUGCAGUCUAGAGCAAUUUGGCUACAAUACGAAGAAAAAAACGCUGCUUGUUAGAAGUCAAGUAGACAUGGAGUCAUAGUCAUGACAAAACAUAACAGGGUUUCAGUUUAUCAGCUAUGAGAAAAUUUGUAGUACCAAUGCACAUGUCACGGAGGAUGAAACAGAGGAACUUACUGAAAAAAGAAUUUCUGCAAUGAUUUGUCCAUUUGAAACUCAUACGAUAGAUCAAGAUCCUUCAAUAUAGUAUUUUCGUGAAUUUUAUCUUUAUCGGUACAUCUUCCGUGAGUUGAUCCCUUUAGAUCAUAACGACGAUGAAUUCGCAGUUCUGUGCAAAACAUAUUCCCCAUAACCACAAACCGCACCUAGUAGCAGAAAAUCGACCAUAAGCUCGGUGCAACAUACAUAAACAAAGCCAUACGGAUAACACACACCUUUCUUUUUCCAUGUACAGUUAUCUGGUGGAGCCCAAAAAACUUUGUUAUGAGAGUAUUUUCAUGUUCUUUCACGUGAUUAUAAUAUUUAGGCAACAUCUUCAGUAAAACCUACACAGAAGAAAAUUUACUUGUGUAACAUAGAGGAACAUGAACAAACAAAAAUAAGUAACAUGUUACAUGCAUGAAAAUCAAUAUAGGUUCGAACCUUGAGCUCGGAUUUUUUCAAUGUUUUGAUCACAAAUCUAUCAUCAAGAGAUAGAUAGAAGAUACUUCCACUUUUUCCUGGAGAAGAAAUCUCUGUGAGACCAUCAUCACCACAAAUGGACAUCAUGUACUCAGCUGCAUCUAGCUUGAACAUCUCCCUCAAGUUCCUUAACGUAGUACAAAAAACGAAGCAAAAAGUAUAAGAUCGUUAUUCCAUCAUUAUUGUAGAUCAUUAAAGCAACAUGUCCAUAGGAUUUUAAUACCUGAAAACCAUAGGACAAUAAUCUUUCCAGCAAAAAUCAACAGAUUUGUGUGGAGGCGUAAACUGUGAACCCCUUCUAGGGAAAAACAUAGUAAUUCUAGCUCGAUGGCCAAAAUCAGCAGUUCGAACCUCACGCUUAGGGACCGGUGUUAUCUUGCCAACAGUAUACCUGUGAACUUCAAUCAAUCAUGUUAUAACAUGUAAUAAAUCCAAAGAUAAUACACACACACACACACACACACGUAAAAAUAUAGUUGAGUUGUUAAAGAAAAGGAAGGAAAUUCAAUCUUGAUUAGUUACCUUAUACCGAGUUGCAAAUUAAGCAUCAAAUGAUAGCUGUUUUUGCCUUUGAAAAUGCCAAAACACGACUUUUUGGUUUCUUUGGCGUGAUGUUUAGUUUUCUUUUCAGCCUUCUUUGGUAAUUCAGUGUAACCUCGGACUCUUUCUUUGAUCAUAACUCCUUGCAUGUAUUCCCUCUCGUAAACUACUGCAGUACUUUCUUGCACCUCACUUUGACCGCCAUCGGAAUCAAAGGAGAAUGUGCCUGAGGAAUAAUGGUGCAUAGAUUCUCUACUGGAAUCAGAAUGUCUAGAACUCUCAGCACUCUUAUGCGAUAUUCGACCUGAACUUCUUAGAACUCCACUCACUGAGAUCUUCUCAGAAACACUACGCCUAACACUUCGUUUCUUGACUGUGCUUCCCUCCAAAUUUAAUGAUGAGCAUUGAGACAACACACUUUUAGGACCAUUAUCAUAUCCCAGAGAGAUACAAAACUUCUUUAGAGAAGGGCGUUUACUACCAGCAGGAUAGAAAACUCCUUUACCAUCCUUAAGCCCCCUGGUCCAUGUUCCAAAAUAGUAUCCCCCAUCGGCAUAUUGAUAAAUUCCCGACCCGUGUCUCAAACCAUUUAACCAACAACCAUUGUACUUAUCACCAUUUACCCAUUCCAUAACACCUCUACCAUGCAUUUUCCCGCGUUUCCAAUUCCCGGUAUAUUUGUUUCCAUUGUUCCAAAAGUAUCUACCAUUACCUUCAUGCUCACCUUCCUUCCACUCCCCUUCAUAAACAUCUGAAUUAGAAUACUUCUUUCUUCCAAAUCCAUGCUGUAUAUUCAUCCUCCAUUGUCCUUCGUACAUGGAUCCAUCAGGUGAUGUAAGCGUGCCAAAACCAUGAAGGUAAACCCCCGAGAUAUCACCGUUGUAUCUUUCUCCCGAUGGCCAAAGUAACAAUCCUUUACCUGUCAUUUUCCCUGCUUCCCAAUCACCCUCAUAAACCAUUCCGUUCGACCACGUAUACUUCCCCUUGCCAUGGGGAAGAACUUCCUUAAAAUCACCAACAUAUAAAUCUCCAUUCGAGAAGACCUUCUUAUUAGGCCUACAAGAAGAAAAUUUUAAGUAACCGUACAUGAUCUAAUACAUGUCAAGGAACCUGAAGAGAAUGUAAUAAUACCUUUCAACAUUCUCCACAUCGAUACACGAUACAGGACCGAGCGGUUUGGCAUUGAUUUCAGAAUCCUCAUCAAUCAGAUUCCUCAAGCAAGUCAUUCAAUCACUUAAAUAAGAAAUUCUCUAAGCAACUUUUGAAUCUGAAAUGCAAUUCAUUUACCCCAGUUAAAGUUGAAACAUUAACAACAACAAUAAUUGACUUGUAAAGCGAUAAUUUUCCCUUUUGCAGCUUUUAUCUAACAUCUUCCAUGCUUUUAUGUUCUUAUUCUCUAUACUAAGAUAACAACAGCUAAGAAACAUAACCAAACUGAUCAUCAAAAUCCUAAAAUUUAUGCAGAAACAGAUAAAAAUAAACCCCAAAACAGUGAAGAUUCGCACUUAAAUUUUAAGCUAAGAAAAAAAAAACGAAGGGUACACUCACAGAUAAAUAAGCUUAGCUCCCUUCUUCUAAACUUGAACAGUCAGAGCAAAACAACAAAAUUUAUAUGAAAAUAAGAAUAAGAAUAAACCCAGAAUUUAGACACCAUAAAAGAUUAAAGGGCAAAAAGGAAAAAAGGAGAAAGAAACUAAAUGAACAUAUGAUUAUUGUCAAAAUUUUCCAUCAACCGACUAGCCCUUAAGAAUCAUAUAUAUUCAAGAAGAAUGUAUUCUUCUCGAAAAUUGACACUUCACCUCUCUAUAACUCUAUCUCUAUCUCUAUCUCUAACAUUUUCUAUUUGUUUUUUUAAUAUAUUUUUGGAUCAUGCGAAUCCCUUUUUCAUUACCAAAUCCUUUUAAAUUUUCAGUAUGGGAAUCAAAGUUCUUUUCCCAACACUUUUUUUCAAAAAAAGGUUUUGGUUCUACUACAAAAUUGUUGUUUUUGUGCUUCUGUGUUUUUCUGUAGGAGACUGAUCAGCAAAAGCAAAUAGGUCAAUUUCUGUUUUUAGUCCUUGUACUAUACUUAAGUUUUCGAUUUAAAAUUUCAGUCUUGAACCAAAUAGGUCAAUUCUUUUAUUGGUCUCGUAACUUCUGGAUUCAAUCAUUAUUUCCUAUUUUGGUCAGUUUUAGCCUCUAUAUUUUUUUUAAUUUCGAAAUUUCAAUCCCGACGGAAACAAUAGUCAUUAAUAACAAUACGUAGAAAUAACAAGCUGAUAUAGCAUUUCACAUUUCAUAAAUGACAGAAUUUAACCUCAACUGUAUGGUUAGGGCUAAAUUUUUCAAAAUUUGAAAACUACGAAAAUCAAAAGUGACCGAUUAAAAUAUAAGGACUAAAUUUGUAACUUACUCAUAGUAUAAGGACUAAUAAAAAAAUUGACCAAACAACUAAGAAGACAGAGAGGAACAACUCAUUUGCCACAUGUCCCAUUAUUUAUCAUUAUUUUCUAAAAAAAGUAACACACUAAUUUGUCUUCUAAUUUGGUUCCAUAUAAUAUCUUUCAUGUAUAUUACUUAAAUAUUUACGUAAUGGAAAGCAAUUUGUGGAAGAGUUCCUUUUUUUAUUACCAAAUUUCCAAAAUAGUUAAAUAUUUUUUUAAAAAAGUGAGAAACUUACUUUAUUCUUCAUAAUUUUUUAAUUUACCUGAUUUUAUGACUAUAUUCUUUACAUCAUGUGUUUGAAGUUAAUGAGUCAACAAAAUCCAACUUUGGGCUAAUUAUAUUUAAGGGUAUAAUUAACUUUUUUUCCUUCACAAAGGUACUUAUUAAUUUAUAGCAAUAUUCUACCUAAUGCUUUCUACUCUUUCUUUUGAUGCAUGUGAUUCGUUUUCUUCUUAUUAUUUUUCUUGUUAUUUAGUCCCUGAACUUGAUAAUUCUUUUAAUUGGUCCUUGAAUUUAUUUUUGUUCAUAUUAGUUCCUAAAACUUAUCACACUUUUGUGGGAUUCAAGUUUAGGGAUCAAAUUGAAAAAGCUGUCAAGUUUAGAGACUAAUGUGGAUAAAAAAAGCUCAGGGAUCAAGGUGAGAAGAGUUGUCAAGUUCAGUGACUCAAUAUUGUUUUAUCCCAUAUAUUAUAUACACACACACGCUAUUAGCCUCUAUACUACGUGUAAGUUAUGGAAUUCGUCUUUGUAUUUUCCAAAAUUUGAAUUUUCAGUUUUGAUCUAACAAUAAUUGUUAACUUCAACAAGUUAUGUUAUUUUCAAAAUCUUAUAUGGCAAACAUAUUAUCACAUGUAUAAUGCCAUGUCAAUUUGUUAUUUUCACGUAUUACUCACACACAAAAAAAGACAGUCAAUAGAUUAAGUGAUUGUCGUUUGUAUCAAAACUAAAAUUUUAAAUUUCGAAAAAUAUAAAAACUAAAAAUGAUGAAAUUAGAAGACAAGGACUAAAUCUAUUACUUUACACAUAGUAUAGACCUAAUAGCAUAAUUAAACCAAACAAUUUUAACUGCUACGGUUUGGGUUAUGAUCGAAAAUUUAAAAUAAGAAAACUAUAUAUAGAGAAUAAAAUUGACCAUUUUAAAUAACACAAAGAUUAAAAUCAACCCAAUUGAAGUAUAAGAAUUAAAUCCACAACUUAGCAUAUUAUAAGGACUAAUAGCACAAUUUGACCUAUAAUAUAUAUCCCAACAAUUGAGGAUGAUCUGAAAACUUAGAUGUAUGUAUAAUGGACACAUCCAGCAUACACAUCAUCAAAAAUGAAAUAAUUGAAUAUCUCAAUAUCCAUGUGACACAGUACUUAUGUUAGAAAAAUUUUGUUGGGAGGGUCGGAAUUAAAUUGGUAAAAAUGUAAUUUUAUUAUUUUAAUAAUUUAUAUUUUUAUGAAUUUUAAAAGAUUAAAUCAAAUUUUUAUCAUUUUAAAAGAGAUUACAUUAUACUUUUACUAAUAAUAAUUUAAAAUUUUAUAAAUUAUAAAUAACCUAAAUAAAUAUUUUCUAUUUUAAGAGAUUCGAAUCCCUACCAACCCUCCUGACUUCGCCGCUGGUCAUGUUAGCUACAUUAUUACCAUUUAUAAUGAUGUGUCUAACAUGUAUUCGAAAAUGAAAAUUUUCUUACUAAAAAUGAAAUUUUCAUAUGAAUUUGUGUAUACAAUGGUGACAAGCGACUAACUGCUUCACCGCUAAUGGUGGGUGGUGGGUGAUGGGGGGGGGGAGUAGGAUUUAAUUAUAAUAUUUACCUAUUUUAUGUUUAAUUAAAUUUAGCUAAAUUUGAAUUAUUAGUUUAAAAUUGUUUAACUUUUAACAUUUAUAUUUUUAUUAAUUUGACUCUUAUUUUUCUUUUAAAUUAAAUUUGAUUCUCGAUAUUUUAAAAAUAUGUUAAAUUUUACCAUCAAAUUUUUGAAAAAAUCGAAAUGGUUUUUCUAACGAGAAUACCAACUAAAAUUUUAAAUUUUUAAACACGACAACUUACAUGACAGUCUAUGUGUACUCUAUGCCUUUUUUAAUUAUGUUUUAUGAACUUUUUAUAUACUUUUAUUUUUAAUUGUGAUUUAUUUUAUAAUUUUUAAAUUAUAUGUUCACGUGAAAUAUAAAACAAAUGAUAUUAUGUUAGCAUGAUGUGCAUAUGGGCUGCCGUGCAAAUUGUCAAGCCAACAACAUUAAAAAUUAAUGUUUUAGUCAUCAUUUCUGUUUAAAAAAAAAGCAAGUUGACUUUUUUUUUAAAAGGUUAAAGGUUAAAUUAAUAGAAAAUGCAAACGCUAAUGACUAAAUUUAUCAUCAAGCCUUUAAAAUAUUAAUUAGGUCUACUCAUAUUUGUAAAUGGCUAAUCUUGUUGAUAUUAGUUUUUAAUUUUUUUUAAAUAUUUAUCAUAUUUAUAAUUUUAUAUAUAAGCAACUUGUUUUUUUAAAUGUUUACAUUAUAAUAUUAUAUAUCACUAUAAAUUUAACUUUUAUCUGUUAUAAAUUACACAGUAUUUACAAACUUAAAAAAAAUAGGUUGAGUUGCCUAAUCUUUUUAAUGAAAAUAUUGACUAAAACAUUAGUUUUUAAUGUUGUUUGCAUAGCAACUUGCAUGACAAUCCAUGUGCACAUUAUGUUAACAUAACACCAUCUAUUUUAUACGUCACGUCAACAAAUAAUUAAAAAUUAUAAAAAAUACAUCAAAAUUAAAAUUUAAAAAAUAUAAAAAAGGUUCAUAAAAAUUCAAAAAAAUUUAGCAUGCAGCACACGUGGAAUGUCAUGCAAGCUGUCUUGUUUAAAAAUUUAACAUUUUAGUUAGUAUUCUCGAUAAAAAAAAACAUCAUUUUAACUCUUUUCAAAAAGUUGAUGUUCAAAUUUGACUCUUUUUAAAAGGUCAAGUGCCAAUUUUAGCUAAAAAAGAAUAAGGGCCAAAUUGACAAAUAAUGUAAAUAUUAAGGCUACAUCUGAUAUUAUGCCAAAAAUUAAAAUCUAAUUGUUAGAUUUUUGUUAAACCUGAAUUUGUGUAAUUUACUUGUAAUAUAUGAGUAACAGCAAAAUUUGACCAAACAAAUUUAACUAUUACUGUUUGGAUCAUAAUUGAAAUUUUGAAAUUAAAAAAAUAAAAAUACUAAAAUUAAUCAAUUUAAAAAAUUAUAAGAUUAAAAUUUAUCAAAUUAAAGUAUUAAAACUAUAUCCACAACUUACAUAAAAUAUAGUGGCUAAUAUCUGAAUUUGACUUUCUAAUUUCGAAUACCUUAUUAUAAGGCUUAAUAGUGUUCAUACAUCAAUAUUGGGUUAAUAUAAUUUUAAGUCAUUGAAUUUGACAAUUAAGUUUACUUUGGUAUUCGUACAUUCUUUUUUUCUAUUUUAAUAUAUGAAUUUGACAACUAAAUCUAUUUUGGUUCUUGAAAUGUAAAUGUUUCAUAAUGUGACACUUUGAUAUUAUACCAUAUCAUCACUUAAUUUUUUUUUUUAAUUUCAGGUAAUAUUGUGAGCUUGUGGUACAAUUUCAAAGUGUCACGUCAUCAAAUCUUGACGAAAUUCAAGAUCAAGGAUCAAAAAGAUUUAUUUUUCGAGUUUAGAUGCCAAAACAGAUCUAGUUGCCAAGUUUAACAACCAAAAAUUAUAUUAACCUUUUAGUGGUAAAAAAGUACUAUGAUGACCCUGUAUUAGGAGUUAAAUUGCAUUUUGCCUUUUUUACUCAAGAAAUAGACAACUUAGGCUCUGUACAUUAAAUCAAAGAGCAAACUGAUUUUUUUGUUAAAACUAUCAUUCAUUUUUAUUGUUAAAAAAUGACGUGGAUGACAGAAUAACCUGAUAAUUACACGUAGAUAAAAAUUUUAACAAAAAGACCAAUUUGCUUUUUAACCUAAUAUACAAUAACUAAUUUACUUAUUUUUUAGUAGAGAAAGACGAAACAAAAUCCACUCCUAAAGUCCAAUAUAAUUUCUCCCUAAGAUAUCACCACAAAUGAGUGAUAAAUUUUUUUUUUUUUUGCCUACAAGUUCGUUUUUCACUUAUUGCUGGCAACCACUAUACAAAGACACCCAAUUAUGUUGUCCCGCAACUUGAUCAAAAUGGCCACCACUACUAAAGAGUGUAAGAAAAUUCCACAAAGACAAUGACCUCGUACAAAAAACACCAUAAUAUGAACUAUAAAUGGCCAGUUUUGUUUAGUAUCAUCCCACCAUGAAUGAUCAAUGUCUACCUUGUAUAGUACGGAUUGUGUUAUAGGUUAGAAAAUGAUGUUUUAUAAUUGGUUAAAUUUCAUGAUUAGUCCCUAUACUAUGUAUGAAUUGUACAACUUUCGAUCUUUUUCCUUUUUAAAUUUUAAAAUUUCGGCAUUUAAUUAAGUGUAGCUUUUAUUGUUAUUUCCAAUAUCUUAUGUGACAAACAUAUUAUCAUGUGUAAAUGUCAUAUUAGCUCAAGGGUGGUGCCACGAGGCUGGUGGGGGAGCUAGAAAAUUUAACUUUUACCCCUUCAUAAUUUAUAAAAUUUUAAGUUAAUAUAAGGUAAAAUUGUACUUUGACUCCCAAAAAUGAUAAAAUUUUGAUUUAGUCCUUUAAAAAAUCAUAAAGAUAUAGGCUAUUAAAAUGGUGAAAUUACAUUUAAACUCAUAAAAAUAUACAACUUAAUUCUAACCCCUCAAAAAUUUUUUUUUGGUUUUGCCCCCAUGCGAGCUUGUUAUUUUUACAAAUUACUCACCAAAGAAGUCAAAUAAUGGAUUUAAUGGGUGUUGUUUGCGUUACGACUAAAAAUUCAAAAUUCUAAAAGUAUAAGGACUAAGAAUGAUCAAUUUGGAGAAGAUGGAAUAAAUCUACAAGAUUUUGCAUAGUACAAUACUAAGAACAAAAUUUAACUAGACUAAUUUAACUGCUAUCGUUUGAGUUAAAAUUGAAAAUUGAAAAUUUAAAAAGUACGAAAAUUAAAAUUGACCAAAUUAAAUUAUAAAGGUUAAACUUACAACUUAUGCAUAAUAUAAGGAGUAAUAGCAGAUGUUGAUCUUAGCUCAAUGGCAAUGUUGAGAGUCAGAGAAUUGAGGUCAAGGUUUGACCCUCCUAAAAUUGAAACUUUUAAUUUUAAAUCCCUUAAAAGUUAUAGCUUAAUACAUGGUAGAAUUAUAAUUUGGUUCUUCAAAAAUAAUAAAAUUUUAAUAUAAGCCUAAAAGCUGUAAAAAUAUAAACUAAUACAGCAAUCAAAUUAUAUUUUAACUCUCAUAAAAAUAUAUAACAUAAUUCCGAUCAUAGAAAAAAUUCUUAAUUUACCCAUAAAAAAAUUCCAAGUUUGAGUGACACAUUAUGUAAAUGCGUAAAUUCUCCUAUUCGUAAUUUAAAAGGAAAGCAUGAGCAAGGGAAUUUAUACCUCGUAUUGUUUUUGUCUGAAGAAUGAAAAGCUGGGUGCUACUAGGAAUCACAAAUUUUAUCACCAACAAGGACAAAAGAGAUUAAGGAACAUGUCUUGUAAUUCUCUUUUUCUGCAAAAGAACUGACAGCCUAACAAUGAACAAUAUCUAUCAGCUCAUGUGCGGUAGAGAUUGAAUUGCAGGUUACACAAGAUGCUUAAUCAUUCAAUUCAUGAGUGACCAAAGGAGCACGCCAUCUGGUCUGCUUUUGAAACCCUUGUUUUUUAUUCCAUAAUUUGAUUUCAUCAGGAAUAAUUUAAUUUUAAUCUCGAUUAAGUUAAUUUUAUUAUAUAAUUAAAUUGGACCCAAAACUCAAAUUUUGGGUGACCCAAAUUGAUUCAAAACAGUAGCUAUUUAUAGCCCAAAACUUGGAUAGGAAUUAUUGUGGAUUUUCAAGUUUAUGGCAGCAUUCUAGACGCUUAUUAAAUCACAUUUGGCUCUUUAUACUUGUAUAAUAGUACACAUGUCACUGUCAAGUUGUUCCGUUUAGUAAAGUGCCGAGAUUAUUAGUAAAAAAACAAAAUAUCAUUUAAGCCUCAAGAGUACUUUUAACAACUAAAGCCUCCAUUUCUGUAAAUUUUGUUUUAAGAAUGAAACUAGCUCGAUGUUGAUAAUCCAUGUUUAAAUUUUAAUCCCAAUAGAUAUCAGCUAGUAUUUCUGACUGUAUAUAUAUAACCUCUAAAAAUACUACUAGCUGCAUACACAUCACACAAAAGAAAAAACCUCCAUUAAUACAAGCUCUUGUUUUGUUUUUGUUUUUUUGUUUUUCCUAGUUCUUUCUGUCUGGUUUAUCUUGUUUCUGGUCCUUCGUGUGUUUAACAUCCUUAGCAUGUGUCGUGUCUUCUUGUUUAGAUUCCGGACUGUUAUGGUAUAUUAUAAGACUAUGCCGGCUGUCGAAAUCUUUAACGAACUGCUUCAUUUUCAUCUCCGCACCCGAACCCGAACCUGUUUCAUCUUCAUGUAAUAACCCUUUGAUUGCUUCAGGCAUAGGUUGAUCUUUCAUCACACUUCUCCAGUAUUCCCCUGGUUCUUUUCUUGCAUGGUUGAGAUUUGCAAACUGUCCAAAAAAAACAUAAUUAAUAAACCAAAAAAUAAAAAAAUAAAUGAUUUUUAUUGAAUAUUUUGAUCGAAAAAAUAUAAACUAUACCAGGAGAAGAAAGCAGAAAAAAAGAAUAGCAAUGAAAGUCUUCAUUAUCUUUUUUGCUAUUUUGUUUUGUAAAGCUUUGCAAUUCAGUAACCCGUUUUAUAGAGGUAUUGGGUAAAGGGACAAGGAAGUGAUUAUUAUAACCUUUUUUUUUGGUUCCACUGUUUUAUUGAACAAUCAAUUAAAUAAAUAGUAUUUUUUUUUAUAAAAUUAUCUUUGCAUGAUAAUUUGCUGUGAAUCUGUCGGUCAGGGACCAUUGAUGUAAAGUUUAAUAUAAUAUAAAAUAGAGCCCCAAGAUUUUAGAGUCCAAUGGCAACAUUUUCAGGGGUUUCACCACCUCUCUCCUUGACAUGACACAAACAAUGAGAGAUUGAAUCUGCUUUGACCUAUGGGAAAAAAAUGGGCACAUCUAGUAGUUAAGGAUUGGACUGUGUGUGAUUACUUUUAAAUCUUCUAAACUGGAUUCAUUCUUUUUGAAAGAAAUUUUUAGAAUAUUAUCCGUUGAGCAGUCGACUAAACUUCCUAGCAACUUCUUGCCAAUAAUUAAUAUCAUACUUUCCCAUGAUGGUAGAGGGUGCUUGGUAGUAAAGGUGAAGUUAAAAAUUUUAUAACUAUUAAAGAGAUUAAAGCUAUAAUUUUCCAUUUUAAGCGGGGUUAGGGCCUUUACCUUCGCCCCUGCCUCGUAGGGUUUGAACUCCAAACCGUAACAUAUAAAUCAUUAUGGAAAGAUUCAGCCAACUAUCCAACGGACCAUACUUUAAAAAUUUAUUCUAAAAGAGUCUGUCUCUCUCAACGAUUGGAUUUUAAAAUGUUAUUCUUUUAAAAAUUUCUGUCACUUUCAGUGGUAGACAAUGUUCUACACGUUUUAAUGGGAAGCAUAGUUGAAAUUUGUAUAUAUGGUGGGAGAGGAACUAAUGAAACCUAAAAGCACUAACCUUUUUUAGAGGUCCAAAAACAAAGACAGAGCUGAUAAGAUAUUCAAAGUUUCAAAAUCUCUUCUUCUUCUUCUUCUUCUUCUAUUUUUUUUUUCCCUCAAAUCCUAUCAGAUUUUCUUGUUUUUAAAACUCUAUAUCUAGAACUGGAAUCUCAUUUGUCACCAGUUGUACUUGAUUAAAUUAAGUAAUAUCUGCAAAUCUGUACAGAAUAUAUGCUCCCAACAGCAAACAAGGUUGUAAUAAUACUCACUUUAUGGCAGAUGGAUAGAAUUUAGAAAUGGGGUCUGUAAGUGGAACAUUAUCACUAUCAUGCUAUACAAUUUAGAGGUAGUGAUGAUGUACCAAACACUAAUUUAAGUAAGCAGCAAAAGUCCCUUUUUAGUGUUUGGUUGACUUAACUAAAUGGGCAUUUGUCUUAAAAGAAAAAUAAAUUAAUUAAUCAUUUCAGCAACAUCUAAUGGCUGAUGCCUCAGCAAACAUGGUUAGGUGUUUUUUUAUCAACAGUUGAUGUAAGGUCCUUUUCAUGCACAGCCUUCAGUCAUUUUCCUAUCAUUUAAUCUUAAAUGGUGAACAAAUUCAGGACCAUUGAGUUCUUAAGUUGACUCUCAAAACCAACAUACUUAGCUGCAAAAGCAUGGAGGUCAAUUUUAACACACAUAUAUAUUUAAGGUAAAACUACAAUAGAGGCCCUUGUAUUAAGAGCCGGAUUGCAUUUUGUUCUCUCUACUCAAAAAAUCGGCAAAUUAGUCCCUAUACAUUAGAUAAAGAGUAAAUUGGUCAUUUUGUAAAAAUUUCAUCCAUUUUUAUUGUUACAAACUCGUCUAUGUAGGUCAGUGUAAGGUAUUGUUUGGUUAUUUUAUUAGCCAUGCCAGUUUUUAAUAGAAUUAACCCAAUUUGCUCUUUGGUCUAAUGUAUAGAAGUUAAUUUCCCAUUUUUUGAAUAAAGGUGGUAAAAUGUAAUUUGACACCUAGUACGGGGGCCUUCAUGAAAUUUUCACCAUAUAUAUAAAAUUUUCCGGUCAGCAAUGAUGCAAUGCAAAGUAAUGCUUACCUACCAUGAAAAUACUUAUAAGCUUUUAAAAAUAAAUUUCUGUUGAAAGUUGACCUCUCAUUAUAAGACAAAUACUUGAUUACAAGGACUUAAUUGAAAACAUCACCUUUACUCAUUUAAUGCCCUACCAACAUGUGAAACAUAGCCUACCCUGUAUUUAUUAACAGUAGUUUGGUAAGAUACAACAUAAAAAAAAGUGUUUUAAUUCAAAGAUUUGUACAUCUUUAUUAGUGAUUUGUUCUUAUUUUAAUCAUGCAUAUAUCUCUCUAUAUAGAUAUAUAUUCUCAUAUACUUUUGCAUGAUCCUAUUGCUGAUUAUCAGCUGACGAAGGUAAAAUGAAAAAAAAAAUUAAUUCUUUAAUAAUAAUAAAAUUUUGAUUUAAUUCUUUUAAAAAUAUCAAAAUAUAUCGAGAUAAUGAUAUGAUUCAAUCUCGAUCCUAAAUUCUAGAUAGAGUUUGAGACCCCGUGACAACUCUAAGUUGGCUCUAAAGUCAAUUUCAUAGACAAUUGUCUACUUGGUGCUUAUCAAAAGAGCUUGUCUGGUUGUAUUUUUCUUGGUUCCCAUUUGGUUCAUGCACAGCAUCUUUAUUUUUAUUUAUUUUUAUCAUAUGGUUUUGGUCUAACUUUCCUUUUUUUACAUUUUUAUUAUGGCUCUUAUGCUAUGAUUUGCUGGGCACAUGAUCACUGUCUUGGCCAUAUGUGCCAAAGUCAACUUUCAUUUGCAUAUCAAACAUGUAAGCUUUGGUUGUACUCUUUUGAAAUUUCAUUUUUUUCCCCUAUUUUGCUUUAUUGAUAGAAUUCUUUACGUGAAAAAUUCUCUCUAAUCCCUUUCAAUUUCGAUAUUAAGUGAAUUUGUAACUCUCAAAAAAAUUAGAGUAAUUGAUUCUCUAUCAAUUUCGGGAAUGAACAAUUAAAGAUAAUUAAUCACAUUGCUAAUAUUUUUUUUGUGCUAAUUGUGCAUAAUUUUGAUUGGUAUAAUAAUAAACUCAGCCCUCAAAAUUUUAAAUACAUAUAUAUAAUUAGCAAAAAAUAUUAAUAAUAUGAUUAAUUGUCCUUAGUUACUCACUUUCGAAUUUGACAACGAUCAAAUUUCUUCGAUUCUUUUAGAGUGACCAAUUCGUUUUAAUAUCAAAAUCAAGAAGGACUGAAGAGGUGUUUUUACCAAUUCUUUUAACUCUUAAUCCCAACAGUGUGACCAUAAUUUUCUUCAUUUGGUUUGCUUCACUAACAAGGAAAAGAAAGCUAAGUAAUUACAGCAAAAGUUUUUUUAAAAGCAUUAUGAGGACCUUUAAUGAAGAAAAUUAACAGUUCAUGAAUCAUGGCCCCCCCUCCCCUCCUGUUUAAUUUCAUAAAGUUUCAAUUUUUUAUCACUUAAUCCCAUUAGUCAAUGUUUCAUUGGCUGCUUUUUGUCAAGGGAGUGAUAAGAUCACUUUCAUGGAGUCUAAAAAGAAUGGUCAAUCAUUCACAUAUUUGUCAACUUUAGGGAAAGAAAAAAAAGGUGUAGGGGUCUAUUUUCCAUGUUAUGUGGAUGAUAAUAUAUUAUGUAAUGUGCAAAAAGUGUGAAAGAUUUUGUUUACAUUUGUAGCGUGAUGUGAAGGUUUUCUUUUAAAUAAAAAAGUAUAAGGGUAGGUAAGGGUAUUGGUCUUCUUCGAAAUAGAAAAAUUUUACAAUUAAAUUCUCAUAUGGUAAAAUUAUAUUUUGAUCCCUAGUCUAUUAAUUGGGUAUUUCAUGGUAGCCAAUAUAUGUUACCUUGGUAGUGACAAAUUUAAAGGUAAACAAGAGUCUCGACCUUUUAAAAAUAAAAAAAAAAUUGUAAUUAAAUCCUCUCUUAACUGAUUGAAUUAAAAUUUAAUAUAUAAUAAAAUUACACUUUGACAUUCAAAAAAUAUUUGAAGAUAGUCGGCAUAUGUCACCUCGACGGCGAUGAAUUUAAGAAGUAGGAAGGACCUCCUCAAAAUGAAAAAAUUUGUAAUUAAAGUCUCGCUUAAAUGAUUAAAUUAAAAAUUAAUAUAUGGUAAAAUUAUAUUUUAACCUUCAAAUAUAAAAAAAUCUAUUUAAUUUUUUUAAAAUAGUAAAAUUAUAAAAUUAUAUUUUCCAACCCGUUAAAAGAUUUCUGAAUUCCACCUGCACUACAUCAAACAGCAUGUGACCAGCUUUUGAUGAUGCUUUACUUUAAUCAUUACACUGAAGAAAAUUUAACAACAUUUAAGUGGUGUAUGGAUAUUGUAAUCUCGUGGAAACAUGCAUAUAUUUUCAUUUUGAGUACGUUCUCUGCACUUGGAUUCUCGCUACUUAACAGGCUUGGUUAUCUUAAAAUAAAAAUUUUUUUAUUUAAAUUAUUUAAAGUGAAAUUUUAAUUAAUAAAAAUAAAAUUAUAUUUUUGAUUCCGUUAAAAAUAUAAAUUAUUCAAAUGAUAAAAUUAUAUUUUAACUAUCAUAAAAAUUACAAUUUAAUUUCGAUCCCUCUAAAAAAAAUUUCUAACUUCGCGGUGUGAGAGUUCUCGAUUAAUAUAGUCAACUCUCCAUAUAAUUUCUAUUUUCUAAAUCCACCACCAUCACCGCACCCUAAACAUCAUCUUUUCUGUUUUCUAGCUAUAGCCCCUGGUUUUUAUCAUCAGUUUUACUCGGUGAAAGCUAGUGAUUUUUUAGAAUCAAAUAGUUUAUUUGGUGUAGACAUAAAAGCCAACAAACCAGACAAUAUGCCGAAUGACAUAACAUUUUUGACCAAAAUCUGACGAUUAUUUUUCUCUAAACUUGAUAUCUAUAUGGUGGUGCACAUAUUUUAUUGCUUAAAAAGUGCAUUAUUUCAAUUGAAAAUAUAAUAUUGGUCUUUUGUCAGUAAACCCCAAAACAAAGCUGAGUUCCAAAAGCUGAAACAUGGGUUCUGGUUUUGCUUCUUGUUGUAUCUUCCUUUCUGUUCUUCUUCUUGCUUUCAUGGUACUCAACAAUAUAUAUAUUUUUUCGUGUUCGUUUUGGUUUCGAGUUUAAACUUUGAAACAUUUUUUAUUGCAGUUAGGACAAGGCAGAAAUGUUCGAAGACAUCAUGUGGAAGAAGGUUCGACCGGCUUGAAUUAUUUGCGACAGGCUUCAAGUUCCAUCGAUGGCGACCGUAUAGAUCCUUCGGGUAAAAUUUUCUUCAAGAUGGAAGAUCUUAAAGUUGGUAAAACAAUGGCUAUUUAUCUCACCAACAAAGACCCUUCAACUUCACCUCAUUUACUUUCUAGAGAAGAAGCUAACUCAAUCCCUUUUUCAUCGGCAAAAAUCGCACAAAUCAUUGAUUUUUUCCGAUUCUCAAAAGACUCGCAUCAAGCCAAAGCUAUCGAAUACACGAUCAAACAAUGCGAACUCGAACCCCUCGAAGACGAGUUACGGUUUUGCGCUACUUCUCUCGAAUCGAUGCUCGAUUACGCCAGUUCCUUGCUCGGCAAGAAAGCUCAACUUCAAGUUUUCACGACGACUUUUGUUGAAAACCCGACGGUUCCUUUCCAAAACUAUACGAUCUUGGCCGUGCCUGAACGGAUUCGGUCUAGAAAAAUGGUUGCAUGUCACACUUUGCCAUAUCCUUAUGCAGUGUUUUAUUGUCACAAUACACCAAAGAGUGAAACCAGGUUGUUUAAGGUUUUGCUUGGUGCCGAGAAUGGUGAUCGGGUUCGAGCUCUGGCUGCUUGUCAUAUGGAUACGUCUCGAUGGGACGUCGAUCAUGUGUCGUUCCAAUUGCUGAAAAUCAAGCCCGGCUCUUCCCCUGUGUGCCAUGUUUUCCCACCGGAUAAUCUUGUAUGGGUGGCUUUGCCUGCUUGAAUAUAUGGAGAAAAAUUCAGUAGAUAUCAUAUUUCAUGUGAUGUUAUUUGUAAUGUUAUUGUAUGAUAUGAAUGUUAAUAUAUAACACCAUGUCCGAGUCGGCUCAGUGAUUUAGAACCACGCCAUAAAUGGAAUAAACGAGUUCAAUUAGCCUCCCUGUUUGUGUACCAGCAAUAAAAUAAUAAAUUCAGUUUUUUUUGUUGCAAGGGUAAAUUAGACUUAAUGGCAGUAAUUAUUAGUAAGUUUACAUUUUAGUCACUCAAUGUCAAAUUGUUAAAUGUUUUUUCUUCUUCUAAAAGUCUGGCUAGCAAACUAUAAGCGAUGAUUCGACAAUUAGUAUGGUGGAUUAAUACCCAUUGACAAGUAGAAGAACAUACCUUAAAUCCAAGCCAAUCUGACGAUCAAUAUCGGAGAUUAAAAAAGAAAAUUGUUUAGAUUUUGGUUCACAGAUUCGUUAUGUUCAAAGUUGUUUUAUGAAGAAGAAAAAACUAAAUUAUAGAAGAGAAAGAGAAUGAGAGCUUUUGAUUGGAACAAGAGGUGCGAAUAGAGAAGCUCAUACAACAACGGUUUUAACAGUCCAAUAACUUAAAUGAAAAAUUUCAAAUAAUUCAAAAACUAUUUUGUAAUAUUUUAAAGUUGAGUGACCAAAACGGACUUUAAUGCAACCUUAUUAGUUGACAUUGAACAAUUAGACAAUAAGGCCCAACUGAGCCAUUAGCAUAGGCUUGCAUAACCAAGCCCAAUCAAAUUGAAAGAACAUUUUAAAACAAGAGCAUGCAACCAUAUUUCAAGCAUUGCAUUGCAAAAAAAUACAGAUUCAAAAAAGAGUUUUAAAUUGUCAUCUAUGGGCUUGUACCGAUACUUGAUCAUCUAAAAGUAUUAUAAAGACUAUUAUAAUAAGAGUCGAAUCCUAUUUAGUCUUAUUUACUCAAAAAAUAUAAAAUUAAUCCCUAUAAUUAAGAUCAAAUAACAAAUUAAUCAUUUUAUUAAAAAAUUCAUCUAUUUUUAUUGUUAAAAAUUGGUUCUUGUACAUCAAUAUGAGAUACAUAUAACACACCACAUGUCAUUCUUUGAUUAUUUUGUCGUCAUACUAAUUUUUAAUAGUACUAAUAAAUGAAAUUUUCAACAGAAAAGACUAGUUUAUUCUUUUAUCUAACGUAUAACAAUUAAAUUGUCUGUUUUUUAACUACUACCUGAUAAUAUGUCAUAAAUUUUUUUAAAAUUUAAAAAUUAAAAUAGACUUGAUUAUUAACUUAAAAUACAGUAAUAAAUAAAUAUUAUACACAUAUACGUGCAUGUAACUGACAAGAAUAAAAUAGAUAAAUUUAAACUCCACAAUAAAAGUAAUGUUAUUUUCCUAUAUUUCACUCCCAUUAUUCCUUUAUCACUAACUUCCAAGAAAAUCAAAUAAUUUAAUGGUAAUAAUCAGCGGGGAUAAGAGGCACGCAAAAUUUUUUAUUUAGCAUUUUUAUAAUUUAUAAAAUUUUAAAUUAUUAAUAAUAAAAUUAUACUUUAUUCCUUAAAAAUAAUAAAUUUUAAUUUAAUUUUUAAAAAAUUAUAUAGAUGUAUUUACUAUACCAUUUAUACUUAUCCAUUCAUAUUAAAUGUAAAAUAAUUGACAGCAAAUGUGGCAAGCAUAUACGAUAAUAGCAAAUUCACACCCUACACUGAAUUAUCAUGUGCUUCUUAUCAAAUAAAGUUUGGUCUGGUGAUGAAGUCUGUUUUUCAAAAUUUUGUAAAAUUUAUGAUAAUAUUGAAUACGAUAUUUUUUUUAUUGACGGCAUGAUUGCAUGGGCCAUGCAAGAAGUGGACCUUAUUGUAAAUUUCGUUCUCCUUUUUUCUCCUAUAAAUAGACAAGCUUAGAACAACCCAGUACAGUCAGUUCAAGCAAAGAGCAAAUUGUUAAAAGAUGGUCCAAUUCAUUCAAUGCCUCCUUUUCUCCUGUCUUUUGCUUUUACUCGUAAGCUAUAUCAAAACUGUUAGCCAUUUUAUAACUCCGAUUCCUUUAAUUUAACUCUUUUAUUUAUGUGCAGUGUGGCCAUGGCAUCAAUGGAGCUAGGGACGUUAAGCCAGUUCCAGUGGCGAAUCCACAGGACCUCGACGGAAAAUUCACCAUCUCCGACUUUCAUAAGACGGUGAACAUUGGGUCACUGGCAGAAAAAGCUUCUGUUCUUCAAGGACUUGUAGCUAAAUACUCCCUUAAAGACCAUUCUCAUGAUAAUAUGGAGAAUUAAAAGGGUGGAUUAUUCACCGUCGAUGAAUUGCAUAACAAUUUCGACACAGGGAAAAUAUUACCAAUCUUUUUCCCUAAUAAAGACCCUUCAAUAUCCACUUCCUUGCCAAAGAAAAUUGCCGAUUCCAUCCCUUUCUCGUCAUCAAAACUCCCUCAAAUUCUGCAACUAUAUUCGAUCGCACCAGGCUCUUCCUUAGCCAAAUCAAUGACGGACACGCUUCCAAAAUGUGAACAUGCACCAGGGAUUACUAACAUUACAAACUAUCAUCAGCUAAAGGUGAAACCAAGACCCUGUGCUACUUCCUUUCAAUCCAUGGUGGAUUUUGUUAGUGGUGCUUUUAAAGUUGCCCCUCAAGAUACCAAGUUCAUUACCACCACCCACCCCACCAUGUCUACAUCUUCAUUGAAAAAUUACAAGGUCUUGGAAUCUCCUAAUGAGAUUAAAUCUUCGAGGAAAGGAGCUUGUCACCCUAUGCUGUACCUUUACGCUGUGUUUUUCUGUCAAUACGAUGAGGAAUUGAGCGAGAGGGUUUUUAAGGUUUCGAUGGUGGGUGAGGAUACUAAGGGUUGGUUUGGAUGGGCGAUUGGAUGCGGUGCGGUGCAUUUAGCCUACUUUUUGUGUUACGCUACAAUAUCACUAAAAUAUCAAAUCUUACAGCCACUGUUGUUUUUACACUGCAGCUACCAUCCAAACUCAUCCUAAAGAUAAUAUCAAUGCGGCUGCUGUUUGUCAUAUGGACUCGGCUAGGGCUGCACUUCUUAACUUGAUGGACAAGCAAGGGAAAUCUCCGAUGUGUCAUUUCUGCUCGGCUGGGGAUCUGAUUUGGUUUCAGUGAAUCGAUGAUGACAUGCACCAGUUCCCAGUUAUACCGUCUAAGUUUGUGGCUUGUUUUAGUUUGUUUCUUGGUUCCCUGUCUUGUCGUGCAUGCAGGUGUUGCCUGAUGUUGCAAUAUGUAUAUAUAUAUGAUAUGAUAUAAUGAAAUCUGAUAAUGUUCCUGAAUCCUGAAAUGAAAGGAAUUGAUGGAGAUCAGAUUUUAGAGGCUUGCAAUUAUGGCAGAUCUAUUGUAUAUUUUUAUAAAAGAAAACAUAUGCAUGGCUCUAUGUGUUACAAUAUCUUGUUGAGUGGUGUAGUGUGAAUCAUCUUUGCGUUUUUUCUUUCUCUUUUAUAUGCACUAUAUGUGGAAAACUACUACAAAGUUCUUAUUCAUAUUGACCCUGAGAUGAAUCAUAAGUUUUGGGUAAAUUAUAUUAAUAAUCAUUGAAUUACGUUUUUUUUAAUCAUCUAAUUAUGAAAAUUUACAAAAUGAUCAUUUAAUUACUAGUAAAAUUUUUUUGUCACUCAGUUAUGAAAAGUUAUAAAAUUGUCACUCAAUUAUUCAAUUUUUUCUUUUACCACUCAAUUAUCUUGAAUUUUCGGGUGUUUCAAUUUUCAUGUUAGCCAGCUCGUGACAAAAAAAAAAAAAUUAAAUAGUUGGAUGAUCAUUUUGUAAUUUUUCAUAGCUAAAUGAUAAAAAAAACUAUAAUUGAAUGAUCACUUUGUAAUUUUUUAUAAUUGGGCGAUAAAAGAAAUCCGUAGUUGACUUCUAUUAUAGUUUAUCGAUACAAAUUUUGAAGGGUUAAAAUAUAAAAUUACAUUAAUAUAUAAUCUUAUAUAAAUGAGGACAAAACCUGUAAUGGGGAACCAAGGCGAAAUUCAAGGAAAAAGAGGCAUAAUUUGCAUGAUAAACAAAACUGAAUUCCAAGUUCAGCUCCUUCUCCACUAACAUAAUUCAUAAAGAUUUUCAGUUUGGUUGCUAAGAAAAUGAAGGAAAACACCAAGCUAAACAUAUUUUCUUGUUUGAUCAUUAUAAGCAACAUGAAACUCGGCUGGUUUCGCGCGAGUGAAGAAGCCAGAGUAACGUGGACUUGCCGUUAUUCGAUUAAUUACUUGUACGACAUGUCGUUUUGAAGAUUUUGUGUUCAUCAAAUCAAUGGAGUAGGAUUUUCCGCCUUUGCGUUAUCUUCUACCCAUUUUUAUUCGCCAAAAAUCUCCGACUCACUCUCACAAAUGGGGCUUCAUAUCCUCAAAACGACACCAUUUUCUUCUUCUUCUUCCCCGAAAUCACUACUCCUUAUCACCGCCACCGCUGCUAAUUAUGUUCUUCCUUGUAAUAGGCGCUUGAGAUUUCCAUUUUCUUCACCGAAGGCUAUUACUUGCUCAAUUUCUUUAUCAGAGUCCAGUAGGUUCUUUCUCCAGAGCAAGCGUAGAUACCGUGGAAGUCAAGUCGUGGCCAUGGCAGCUCCAGGGUCGCUCCAGAAAUCCGAGGAAGAGUGGCGUGCUAUUCGCUCCCCUGAACAGUUUCGAAUUUUGAGACAAAAGGGCACUGAGUAAGUUUCCUAAGCUAGUACCAGUGUUGAUCAACACUUUUUUUUUCUAUGGAAUAUUGAAUAAAUUUUGAGCUUUUAUAGUGUUUAUUAGAAGAGUUUGGUAGAUUAAUGUGCAAAAAGAAAUCUGUCCUUUUUAGCUGCUUUUGUUCAUGAAUCUCUUCAAGGCAGUUUAUUCAAAGGAUGUUCUUUUAAUACCAUAUCCAUUGAUAAAAUUCCUGGCAAUAUUUUGAUGCUGUAUAGGUAUCCAGGCACAGGAGAAUAUGACAAAUUCUUUGGUGAUGGUGUUUAUAACUGUGCUGGAUGUAACACUCCUCUUUACAGAUCCAUAACAAAAUUCAAUCCUGGUUGUGGUUGGCCUGCUUUUUAUAAAGGUCUCCCAGGAGCUAUAAAUCGAAAUGUUAGCUUUCUUCCUCGAAUUUCCUCUGUAUCAUCUUACAAAAAUGGUAUAUGUUUCAAGUAAAUUUGACUAAUGAUGAGAGGUGUGUCAUGUUUAACCAGCCGGAUCCUGAUGGGAUGAGAACUGGAAUCACUUGUGCAGCUUGUGGUGGUCAUUUAGGCCAUGUUUUUAGAGGUGAAGGUUUUCGAACGCCGACGAAUGAACGUCAUUGUGUUAAUAGCAUAUCACUCAAGUUUGUUCCUGCAAAUUCUUGGUUAUAGUAGCAUAUAUGUUGGUACUAUUUAUUCAUUCUGUAUAGAAACAUGUCCAUAAUGAUGUAUGUAAGUUCUGUAUUAAAUUCUAUUUUGAUGGUUCUAUUGUGUUUGAACUUCAUGCUUCCUUGAAAUGAAGGCAAAAUCUCGAAUUUCUUCGAGUUUCAUGUACUGUUACCAGAAGGGCAAAUUUCCGGAGCUUCUUUGAAUCAGUAAAGAUGAAGAACCCAUGGAUAUAUAGUUUACUUUGUGUUGCGGAAAGGAUCGUUUCGAGAACUCCGAUAUGACUACAAGUAAAUUGACCGGAACGAAAAAAAUAAAGUGAACACAAGGAUUUACGUGGUUCGGCUUUAAUGCCUACGUCCACGGGCAGAGGCGAAAAGAAAUUUCACUAUAACAAGAUGAAGAUUACAAGUGUUUUACACUCAAGACACAACCCGAGAACCUCACAACUCUCAACCCCUAUAGAAAACCCGAAAGCUAAAAUCCUAGCUUUCAAAGAACAAGCUUUGCUCUCUCUUGGUUUGGGAUGAUCAAUAUGGCUAAUGAACCUCUCUAUUUAUAAGAGAGUUCAAGGACAUAAUUGUCCAAAACUUUGGCAAAGAUUUGUGGUUGAAAAUGGACACCAACAACCAUCCACUAAUCCACUACCACCAACAACCCACUACCAACAACAACAAUCCACUACCAAUUUUAAGCCAUUUCUUAACAAAUCUCCACCUUGGCUUGAAAUUUACCAAGCUGAACAUCAUAGUGAACUGGAUCACCUCUUCCAAACGCCUCUCUGGCGCUAAUCAAUCCCGAAUACCUAUCAAGUCCAAGCAAUGCUUGAACUUAUAUGCAGGGAUCACCUUAGUUAACAUAUCUGCAGGAUUCUUCUCGGUAGCAACCUUGCUGAUAACAAUGUCACCUUGCGUAACAUGUUCCCGAACAAAAUGAUAUCUGACAUCAAUGUGUUUGGUCCGUUCAUGAAACAUCUGAUUUUUAGUCAGAUGUAUGGCACUCUGGCUAUCGCAAAAUACAACAGUGAAAUCCUGUUGUAAACCCAAACUGCUUACUAGACCUUUCAUCCACAAUGCUUCUUUCACUGCUUCUGCUAACGCCAUAUAUUCCGCCUCAGUCGUAGAUAAGGCUACGGUAGACUGUAACACAGCUUUCCAACUAAUGGCUCCUCCAGAAUAAGUGAAAACAUAACCCGUCAGAGAUCUUCUUUUGUCCAGAUCUCCAGCAUAAUCAGAGUCCACAUAGCCCGUGACACUGCUAGUGCAGUCACUCUGAUCAUAUACCAAGCAUAAAUCUGCAGAACCUCUCAAGUACCUGAGAAUCCAUUUCACGGCCUGCCAGUGUUCCUUGCCAGGACAACUCAUGUAUCUGCUGACCACACUAACUGCAUGUGAAAUGUCUGGACGAGUGCAAACCAUUGCAUACAUCACGCUUCCAACUGCACUCGAGUAUGGAAUGUGAGACAUUUGCUGCUUUUCUUCAUCAGAUUGUGGUGACAACUCUGCAGAGAGUUUGAAAUGUGGUGCCAACGGAGUACUCACAGUUUUCGCUUUAUCCAUGCCGAAGCGUUGAAGAACCUUUUCAAUGUAGUUCUUCUGCGACACACGAAGCUUGCCCGCCUUGCGAUCUCUGUGAAUAUCCAUGCCCAAAAUUUUCUUGGCAGCACCCAGAUCCUUCAUCUCGAACUCACCACUCAACUGCGACUUUAACUUGUUGAUUUCCGACAUGUUUUUGGAAGCAAUUAACAUGUCAUCAACAUACAGCAACAAAUAAAUGUGCGAACCAUCUGAGAGCUUCCGAUGAUAGACACAAGCAUCAUAGUCACAUCUUGUGUAACCAUGCUGAAUCAUGAAGCUAUCAAACCGCUUGUACCACUGCCUUGGGGAUUGUUUCAAUCCAUAUAAAGACUUCUUUAAUAGACAGACAUGGUCUUCUUUACCAGGAACUGUAAAACCCUCUGGUUGACGCAUGUAGAUUGUUUCCUCGAGCUCACCAUGCAAGAACGCCGUUUUUACGUCAAGCUGCUCAAGUUCUAGAUCAGACUUGGCCACCAUGGCAAGUAAUACACGAAUGGAAGAAUGCUUUACGACUGGGGAGAAAACUUCAUUGUAGUCAAUCCCCUCUUUCUGAGUGAAGCCUUUAGCAACCAAUCGUGCCUUGAAUCUAGUUGCUUCAACCCCUAGGAUGCCUUCCUUUUUCUUGAAGACCCAUUUGCAACCAACUAUCUUCUGGUUACUUGGCGGCUUAACCAACUCCCAAGUAUGGUUCUUGUGAAGAGAUUCUAUCUCCUCACUCAUAGCAAUUGCCCACUGUGCCGACUCAUCACACGUGACAGCCUCAUUAUAACUGGAAGGUUCUAUACCAAUGGACUCCGCCACACUGAGCGCGAAAGACACCAGAUUAGCGUAACGCGGAUUUGGUUUGAUUUGUCUCUUCGUUCUUCCAGUGGCAAUGCUAUAUGGUUUUUCUUGAGGUGACUCAUCUUCAUCGGAAUCUUGCACCUCAACUUGAUCAUCCUGGACUGAAGUACCUUCCGUAGGAAUUGGAGCGUCCACCUGACACUCCACCUGCUUCUCAACACCGUGAUCUCCCAUUCUAUCUGACUCCUCCUUUUCCCGGGAAUUUGUGGUGGAUCGAAGCAUGGAUGACUCAUCAAAAGUCACAUCUCUGCUGAUGAUGAACUUGGACGAAACCGGAUCAGGACACCACAACCUGUAUCCUUUCACCCCUUGGCCGUAUCCAAGAAAUAUGCAUUUCUUCGCCCUCGGUUUGAGUUUUCCCUCAUUUACAUGAGCAUACGCAGGGCAGCCAAACACUCUUAAACCAGAGUAAUCAGCAGGAGAACCAGACCAUACUUCCUCAGGAGUCUUCAGCUCAAUAGCUGUUGACGGAGAUCUGUUAACCAAAUAACAAGCAGUAUUAACAGCUUCAGCCCAAAAUUCUUCACCGAGCCCAGCAUUUGAUCGCAUGCAACGAGCUCGCUCCAAGAGAGUUCUAUUCAUGCGUUCUGCAACUCCAUUUUGUUGUGGUGUUCGACGAACAGUGCGGUGUCUCACUAUUCCUUCAUUUUUGCAGAACUCAUUGAAUUCACCUGAGCAAAACUCCAAGCCAUUAUCCGUCCGGAAUCGCUUGAUCUUCUUUCCUGUUUGAUUUUCGAUCAAAGCUUUAAAUUGCUUGAAGUUGAUGAGAACCUCAUACUUGCUCUUCAGAAAAUACACCCAAACCUUUCUCGAGUAAUCAUCGAUAAAGGUAAGCAGAUAUCUGUAACCACCUUUAGAAAUUGUCGGAGAAGGCCCCCAAAGGUCAGAAUGGAAGUAAUACACUGUGCCUUUUGUCUUGUGAAUCCCAGUGCUGAACUUUACCCGAGUCUGCUUACCGAAGACGCAGUGCUCACAGAAAUUCAACUUUCCUGUACACUGCCCAGACAAUAAUCCUCGUUUGCUUAGCACCGAUAAGCCUCUCUCGCUCAUAUGCCCGAGCCGCAUAUGCCAUAACUUCGUGGUGUCAGAAUCUAGAUCAUCUGAUGAUGACACUCCCGCAACACCUGUAACCGAGGAACCAUCGAGGAAGUAAAGGCCCCGCUCCAAAUUACCACGUAUCACAGUCAAAGCACCCGAGAAUACCUUGAGAACUCCACCUUCAGCAGAGUACCGAAAGCCUUUCUUGUCCAACGUACUCAAAGAGAUCAAAUUUUUCUUCAUUUCUGGAAUGUGCCGAACAUCAGUUAGAGUUCUAACAAUACCGUCAAACAUCUUUAUACGAACUGUGCCAAUCCCCAUGACUUGACAUGCGUGGUCAUUUCCCAUUAGUACUGAACCAGAAUGCUUCUCGUAUGUUGAGAAUGCAUCUUUCGAAGUACUUAUAUGAAAUGUAGCUCCCGUAUCAAGAAUCCAUCUCCCACCAGCGUAAGAGUCGGAUACUGCAAGAACGAUCUCGGCAUCACUUGAAGAAUCUGCAUCAGCUACAUUCGCACGAUCAUUUUGUUGCUCCUGUGAUUCUGAUUUCUCCUUCCUUUUCGGACAAUCUACCUUCAUGUGCCCGUACUUCUUACAGUAGUAGCACUGUAUUCUCUUCUUGGACUGCGAUCUAGGAUGGCUUUUACUUGAACUUCCACCCUUUGCCUUGGAUCUUCCUCGAGCAACCAAGCCUUCGCCUUCAUUGUUUUCGACCACCUUACCAGUGAUUUUCUUCCUCAACUCACUGGAACUUAAGGCAUUUUUCACCUCCUCUAGAGUCAGGUCAUCACGACCGUACAUCAUUGUAUCAACAAAAUUCUCAUACGAGGGAGGCAAAGAACACAAAACAAUUAUUGCUUGGUCCUCAUCAUCGAUUUUGUUAUCGAUAUUAUUCAAAUCCAUGAUAAUGGAAUUGAAUUUAUCCAGGUGCUGGGAAACAGGUGUACCUUCCUCCAUCUUCAGGGCAUAGAGUCUUUGCUUGAGGUAGAGCCGGUUCGUCAAUGACUUCGUCAUGUACUUGCUCUCUAACCGGAGCCACAAACCGGACGCGGUUUUCUCAUCCGCUACUUCUCGUAGCACUUCAUCUCCUAGACAUAGCAGAAUAGCACUAUGUGCUCUUUCUAGCAUGUCAUCCUUUUGCUCUUCCGAAAGCGUGCUUGGUAAUUUAUCUUUACCAGACAAUGCUUUUAGCAAUCCUUGUUGAACCAGCACUGCCCGCAUCUUGAUGCGCCAUAAACUGAAACUAUUUUUCCCGGUAAAUUUCUCGACAUCAUACUUAGUCGAUGAAACACUUGUAGCCAUAAUUUGGAACCUUUGAAUGAAUGAUAAUAUUUUCUUCCUGAUGUGAAAGAUCAGACAAAGCUGCAGUCACAGGGCAAUUCAGAAAAUAUUAUCACUCCUUCAACUACGCUCUGAUACCAAUUUGUUGCGGAAAGGAUCGUUUCGAGAACUCCGAUAUGACUACAAGUAAAUUGACCGGAACGAAAAAAAUAAAGUGAACACAAGGAUUUACGUGGUUCGGCUUUAAUGCCUACGUCCACGGGCAGAGGCGAAAAGAAAUUUCACUAUAACAAGAUGAAGAUUACAAGUGUUUUACACUCAAGACACAACCCGAGAACCUCACAACUCUCAACCCCUAUAGAAAACCCGAAAGCUAAAAUCCUAGCUUUCAAAGAACAAGCUUUGCUCUCUCUUGGUUUGGGAUGAUCAAUAUGGCUAAUGAACCUCUCUAUUUAUAAGAGAGUUCAAGGACAUAAUUGUCCAAAACUUUGGCAAAGAUUUGUGGUUGAAAAUGGACACCAACAACCAUCCACUAAUCCACUACCACCAACAACCCACUACCAACAACAACAAUCCACUACCAAUUUUAAGCCAUUUCUUAACACUUUGCCUAGCUAUUUCAGGUGCUACUUGGUUUCAGAAUUCAGAUAAAUUCCAGAGAUGUUUAUGGUUUAUCUGUUUGAUCAUUCGAUUUCGUUGUGUUCAUAAGGUUGAGCUCUUGAAACUUUAAAAGUAUUUCAUUAGGUAACCACCUUCAGACUUAGAGAUAUACGGUGGAGAUGAAGAAUAAGCUUUGGUUAAAAUGUGCUCAUAGUCUUGGUAUUUUUCAAAAAUUAGGAAUUUAGUCCUUCUACUUUUUAAAGAUAAUUUUUUUAUUAAAUUCGUUGUUGUUACAUUUUGAAAUUAAAAAACUACUCACUUGAUAGUCACGUAAUUAAAGAAAAUAUUGUAAUUAACUUAAAUUUUUAAGAAAAUCUAAAAAAUAGAGGGACUAAAUUUUUGAAAAUAUAAGUACAAGGACUAUAGGCAUAUUUCAACCAUAAGGGUUUUGAUGCUAAAAAAUCUGAAGUCUGAACCUUAUCUAAUGUUCACAAUUGUUUUUUCUUUAGAUAAUCUAUCCAUAACCGCCACGUGUACAUAAUGUUACCUUACUGCUAACCUGUCUAAAUAGAAACCACUUCCUAUUUGUCUUCAACCGAACAUAUAUUUUACAUAGUCCUCACAAACACACUUCUGGUUGGGACAAUUCAAUUCUUUACAAGCUCCCUGAAAACACAGCUUUUAAACAUGUCGUGGCCACUUCCUCUCCUCUCUUCUUUACCCCCUUAAAAUACACACACAAGAAACAGUAACAAAUGGACAUAAUUCAAAAAAAAAAAAAACCCAGAGUUCAUAACUCUCUUUUCUUUUUUUCCCAAGAAUCCUUAGAGUUUCUUAAAACAAUCAGGAAAAUGCCUUAGAAGUUGUCUGUUUCAGGUUCUUGAGUCUUUGGUCUUUAAACCGAUUUAACACCAUGUUGGAAUCAGUAUCUUGUUGCCAUAGUCCCAAGGUAUGUAAUCUCUUGGCGUUGACAUUUGUCUCUGUGUUUUUCUUGAACGAUUAAAGUACUAACCUUAUAGUUUUUCUUUCUUUAAAUUGCUUUACAAAAAGGAUUUUGAACUGUCCUUAUGUUUUAUACGUAUGUUGUGAACCCCUCCUUUAGAGCCUUUUGCCAAAUCUUCCAAGACUAAGCUUAGUAGCUUGAAGUUCUGGAUAUUGUUCUAAUUAAAUAGUUAAAACUCUUUUAAUUUGAUUUGGCUUCCUUAUAAUCUAUUUCUAUUUCAAGAACAAUAAAAUUUAAUCUAUUUUUACAAUCAUUUUCCCAGUGUUGUAAUAGUUUGGAAAUCAAUUUUAGCUGCCAAAAUGUGUUAAGAACUUGAUUUUAGAGAACUCUAGUUUCUACCUAGUGAGUGUUGUGUUAUUUCAUUCUUGAACCGUUCUUUUACUGCAGGGUUAUGACUUUGUUAAGCGAAAGAACCAGGGUGGCGCAUACUCUCAAGCUAUGUCAUGGUUUUCUGGGCAUUCUUCUUACGUGCCAUAUAUCAAUAACAUGCUUUUCCAUUCUAGACCAUUAUCCGUAAAAGCAAGAAUGAAUAAUUGCACUCAUGUUUUAAAGCAUAUGUUUGGUGGCACACCUUCUUUACCUUCAUCACCAUCUAAUUCGAGAGGACUUAGUUUCUCCAAUCAUGGACUGUUCCACCAGAGAAGGUUGCGAAUCUAUGCAGCGGUUGAAGUUGCUAGUGCUAUUGAUGUCAUCAAUGAUUUAGGAUUGGAUACUCUUACAUUCUUGGCUGUCACUGUCUUGGUUGUUCCUGCAUUCAAGAUCAUUAGAGCAAGCCCUGUAAGAAUAAACACUUCAAGUAGCAUUAGUCUCUCAAAUUGUUCUUUUUUUCCCCAUUGCCAUUUCAUGUAUCGGCAUUACAUAUAUGCAAAAUAGAAGAAACUAUAGAUGAUAUCCGUUUUGGUUGAUAGUCUUUCAUCCCUAAUGUUUAACAAAAAUUACAUACUAAUUGCUUCCAGAUACUUGGAUUCUUCUUUGCCGGGGUUGUACUGAAUCGAUUUGCAUUGAUUAGAAAUCUUACAGAUGUCAAAGUCCUGUCUGAAUGGGGGAUACUUUUUCUGGUAAGUUCAAUUGCAUGACAUAUCUGGUCUUAGUUAUUGGAUUGAUAGCCAUCUUUUAGGUAUUUUCUAUAUUAUUUGGCUUUCUAAAGCUGCAAAUUACUCGUAGAAUACCUUGUUACUAUCAUGCAUAUUAAUUCUGGUCUAAUACAUGUUCCUUUUCAGCUGUUUGAAAUGGGUUUAGAGCUAUCACUUGAUCGCCUGAAAGCUCUUGCUAAAUUUGCUUUUGGCAUGGGAUUAACUCAGGUAAUGAUAUCAUUGGGAACUGCUAUUUUAGUCCGGUUGUGCAUCGAGGUUGAAAAUCUUACAUUCUCUUCUCAUAUUUGUAAAACAACCGAGCAACAUUAUAUUGGAAAUGACAAAGAAUGAGUUAAGUUGUUAAAACAUGUAAGAUAUGGAACUGCUUGAUUGAUAUUGUCUUUUUUCUCUUUCUAUUUGUAAGGUCUUUCUGUCCACCCUUGCUUUCACCGCAUUUGAACUUCCGCCUAACGGGGCUGUUGGAACAAAAAUUUUGCAGUUCCUCUUUCACUCUGGGCCUGACCUGGUGAAAAUACUUUAAUCCUUGACUCUUUAAUCAUUAUUGUAUCUGCAUUUAUUUGUUUAAUGCUUUAAUCAGCACUGCUACUUACCAGUUGGUGUUCCGUUGAGUGUCAUUGUGCAAACUCUAGUGCUACUUUUUGCAUGGACUUGUGGAUAUGUUUACUAAUUCAGAAUUAGUAAUGCUUAUAAUCUGAAUGUUUUGAACAGCAGUUACGUAUUAGAGUAAACCGGUUUAGCUUAAUUUUCCUUGUUGGUACAUUUGUAGGUUAAUAUAAGAAGUGUUGAUGAAGCCAUAGUGAUUGGUGCUGCUUUAUCUCUAUCUUCUUCAGCUUUUGUUCUACAGGUAUUCUACUUGUGGAUAUCUAAGAAUGGUUGUUUCAUUUUGCUACUUUUGUCACUUUGGGUAGAUACGUAUAAACCGUUGUGGUUAGGCUAAAAUUGUGCUGUGCUCAUUAAAAUAAGCAUAUCUUGCAUUCUAAGCUUACAAUCAUAAAAUACAGCUUCUUGCAGAGAAGGGUGAGCUGCCAACAAGAUUUGGCUCAGCAACUCUGGGGAUACUACUUUUACAGGUUCUUACUUACAGUCAAUACAUGCUUGCCUUAUUUAUUCCAUUCCAUUCGUGGAUUUUUCUAUAUUCAAUGCGAAGUAGACAUCAAAAUUUGGAUGUCAAUAACCUCAUUUGGGUCCUAUUCUUGAUGUUCGCAGGACAUAGCUGUUGUUCCUCUCUUAGUCAUACUUCCAGUGCUCGAGAGCCAGGUAGAUCAUGUGCUUAUCAGGUGUAUCCGGGAGUCACUGUCAUCUACUACCAUUUUUAAUCUCUUUUUCAACCUUGCAGAACAUAAUAGAGGACAGUAUUUGGCCAAUGCUAGCUAAAGAAAGUUUAAAGGCGCUAGGUGGGCUCGGUAUACUUUCUCUUGGAGGAAAAUACAUUCUUAGGAGAGUUUUCGAGGUUUGUUGAGUUUGUUAUUAAACAGAGACAAAAAAGGAAGAACAAAAAAUGACCCUGGUUUCUUAAAUUUUCAGGUUGUUGCUGAAACAAGGAGCUCGGAGGCCUUUGUUGCUCUUUGCUUGUUAACAGUUGCAGGGACUUCCCUUAUGACCCAACAGUUAGGCUUCAGUGAUACGGUUUGAUAUGUAUUCUCAUUAGCAGAUAAUGCUUAAGAUUGAUGCAUUUCAAGCCUUGUAAUAACUACAUUCAAUUUCGUUAUUCAGCUUGGAGCAUUUCUGGCUGGAGCAUUAUUGGCAGAAACAAAUUUCCGGACACAGAUUGAAGCUGAUAUACGACCAUUUAGAGGGUUGCUUCUCGGGUUAUUUUUCGUGACUACUGGAACUUCAAUUGACUUGCAGGUAUUGUAAUCAUUUUAAGUACGUAUUUUCCUUUAUUACUCUCCAUUUUCUUGUUCGCAUCUGGUAUCAGUGCUUCAUAUUGUUUGAUUAAUGCAAGUUUAUAUCGGCUUUGUUUUGCAGCUUCUUUACCGAGAAUGGCCAAGUGUGCUUGCACUCUUGUCCGGUUUAAUUGUCAUCAAAACAUUGAUUAUUACAGCUAUCGGUCCUCGUGUUGGACUUACCUUACAGGAAAGUGUAAGAGUAGGAUUUCUUUUAUCACAAGGAGGCGAGUUUGCGUUCGUUGUUUUUUCUCUUGCUAACAGGUUCGUUAGAUGAGUAACUAGUCUCUAAGUAAAACACUUCCGUUUUUAUGCUUAUAAAGUCUUUUGCCAUCCUCGUGCAGCCUUGGGGUGCUACCGCUUGAGCUUAAUAAGCUGCUUAUUAUUGUUGUGGUACUGUCAAUGGCAUUAACCCCAUUGCUUAAUGAAGUUGGAAGAAGGGCUGCUGAUUUCGUUGACAACAAGUUUAAUGAAGAUGUAUGUUCGUAAUAGUAUUUCAUUUCAGUAUCAUCAAUGACUAUUUUUUUCUCUUAUCAUCUUGCUUCAGAAACGAGUUUAUCUGUGUGAACUUAAAGAAGAAAUUUUCACAGAAUGAUGCCGAUGAGAUGGUGAACUUUGAUGCAAGUGAACCCGUUGUUAUCAUUGGCUUUGGUCAAAUGGGCCAGGUAUGUCAAAUAUCAUGCAGUAAUAGUGAUAAUUAUCAUGUGGCAGCAACACGAGUUAAGUCUAAAAUGUUUUUACUUGCAGGUACUUGCUAAUUUUUUGUCGACUCCGCUUGCUUCUGGAGUAGAUGGUGACUUCAUGGGAUUACAUUAUAUAGCUUUUGACCUCAAUCCUUCUGUGGUGAAGGUAUCCAAAUUUCAUCAUAUAAACUGAUGAUAACAUACGCUAUUUCAUUACCGAUAGGUAACGGUAUUGAAAAUAUUUGUCACUGCAUUCACAGGCAUCUAGAAAGCUCGGUUUCCCGAUUCUUUAUGGAGAUGGGUCAAGUCCAGGUGUUCUGCAGUCUGCUGGUAUCAAGUCCCCGAAGGCCGUCAUGAUUAUGUACCGAGGAAAAAAGAGGACAGUUGAAGCUGUUCAAAGGCUUCGACUUGCCUUCCCCGCGGUAAUAGCUCGCUCUUUCUUGUCCUGGGUGGCCUUUAUUAAUGCUGCAUUUGCCAUUAUUGAUCCAUUCAUACUUUAUUUCAUGUAAACUUAUAAGCUACUAUUGCAUUUUCUACUUUUUUCGAUAAAAUGAAUUGCUAAUCUUUGACUAAAAUAUGCUUUCGAGAAGGUUCCAAUCUAUGCAAGAGCUCAAGACCUCAAACAUCUCUUAGAUUUAAAAAAAGCCGGUGCAACAGACGCAAUCUUAGAGAAUACGGAGGUACUGAUAAUUUCUUUUGCUCUUCAUUGUUAUUACAAGGUUCAGCUUUCAUGCUUCAGCUCCUUGACUCCGAAUAUCCUAUUUUGUGCAGACAAGUUUACAACUUGGAUCCAAGCUUUUGAAAGGAUUUGGUGUCAUGUCCGAUGACGUAACAUUUCUACGUCAGCUUUUUCGAAAUUCCAUGGAGUUACAAGCUCAAGAAGAACUCAACAAAACCGAUGAUCGAGAACCAGAUAUUAUGAAGCCAUUGCAGGUACGUGGUACUUGGAUGCAUCUAGGUUUUUUUAACAUCAUGUCAUUACAAUCUUGGAUGGAUUAACUUUGUUUGAUUAGGCGAGAACCGAUAAGGCUGAAGCAUCGACAUUAUCAACCUCAAUCAAGGAUGAAUCAUCGAGACAUAAAGUCACCCUGUUUCAAGUGGCCGAAGCAAAGCAAGACGGUGUACUUAAUCGGUCUGAAGGUCCGGAGUCUCGAGGUAGUUUGUACGGAGAAAUUGAUAGUGAGAAUGGGUUUCCAAUGACAGCAGAUGAGCAACAACAUUAGAAGCAUCAAAGCUUGAAGACAUUUGUUAUAGAUACUGAUUUAACAUUGUUGCUGAAGAAGGUAUUUUUUUAGUGAAAAGUUUUGUUUAUUUUCAGCCAAAACCAGUUCAAUACAUUUGGCUGUUAAGCAUUUUCGUGGUAAAGUUCCAGUCUUUUCUUUUUUUGAAACUACACAUCCCCCAUGUAUACACUUAAUGAAGAUAAUGCAAAAGGACUAAUGAUUCAUUUCAGUCAUUCUCUUCCUUUUUCUUUCAUUUAGAACCAUAUACAUCAUGCAAGGACCCGGCAAAGCUCGAACAAACAAGCUUCAACUUUUAUCAUGUUAAUGCAUUUCUAGUGAUGAAUCAAACUUACAUAUUGAAAAAUAAAGUUGGGAUAUUUAGGAAUUUUGAUCAUCUUAGAACUAGUGAGAGAAGCAGGACAGCACGUGUGUCCCGGCCUGUCGUGUAUCUACAGUAACAGUAUCAGAAAACCAACGGCUUAAAGGGUUGGUGUAGUGGUGAACCGAAGAUUAAUCAAAUCAAAGGUUUCCACGUUCCAUUAUCUUUUUGUCUUACGCUCAUUGUUUAUGGUGUGGAUACAGUCAAAAUCUGCGAAAGGUUUAGUACUUAAGUUUUACUUUUCUUUUUUAUCGUAACAGACCAAACGAUUGAAAGAAUGCUUGAAUUAAGGUACAUGAAACAAAAAAAAAAAAAAAAGGUAUCAAAUUGAAAAAAUUCAGGUACCAAAGUGAAUAUUGAAUCCAAACUCAAGUACUAAAUUGAAACAAAAAAAUUCAAUACUAUAUAAUAUAUUUAUUAAUCCAUGGUGUUUUAAAUAUAAGUAAUAAAAACAAAUUUACACAUUUAUACAAUUUAGUUCCUACAGAAUAAAAGGUCAAAUAUGGUCCAAAUAAAAGAAUAGGGCCUAAAUUGAAUGAAAUGUGUAAAAGUUAAUGCCUAAGUUCGUUUAUGUUUCAAAUAAAGGGACCAAAAUACAAUCUGAGGUAUAACAUAGGGACUAGUAUCGUAUUUUUCCCCCCACCAUACUACUGAAAACUUAAACCGACUGAAAUGCCCACAGACUGUUUCCCUGGUUUUCUCAUUCCUAACCUCUUCCAAAUCCCUUUAUUUAAUAAACAGCUGACUGUCAAUUUAUCAAAUAAGCAAGUGAAAGAUCAUUGAUUUCAUAUCUAAUUAUGGCGCCUACUGCUGCAAUGUUGAUUCUUCCCCAUCUCGGCGAAACUACUUCACCGGUCGUUCCUACUUCACCGCCACCGGAGGUAAAGGCCUCUGCUUUGAAAUGGAUUGCACUGGGUAAAAGCUUUUUUGUUCGAACAAAAUCUGGGUCUAUUAGCAAAGAGUCAAAAAUGGAGGUUGACCGUUGUUUAUGUGCUGAUUCUGGCUUGGAAAACAGGUUCCUUGAAGCCUUUGAACUCAGCUGGUGGUAAGGUAAUGAUCAUGAUCCAUAGUUGACGGGUCGGGCAGAGGCUUGUUUGUAAAUUUAUCACUUUAAUGUUGGUUUUCAUUGCACCAACUCUGUAAAUUACAGCCAAUUUUCUAGUGGAAAUGUAAUCCUCAAACUUCAGUUUGAUUACAGUUUGGUUUUUCAAUUGCAUAUUUUUAUAGUAAAAGUUAUAGAAAUCAAGUUCGGUUCUAUAUCAUUCAUUUUUGUAUUUCUCCCAAAAAUGAACUCUUUCUUGGAAAAGAAAGGGUUUUUUCUUCAUCUAUCAAAAUAGUCUCUUCUUUUCUUUUUUCUUUUUUUGCUUCAGGAUAUAUUUUAUUCUAUUAUAUUAAAAAUAAUAUAUUUUAAUCGUAAAUAGCUAAUAUAAAAUUAAAAUGUAAAUAACUAAAAUUAAAGACUAAAAUUAAAAUGUAAAUAACUAAAAUUAAAUUGUAAUUCGAGACAAACAAAAAUAAUUAUUUUGAUAAUUUAUUUAUUUUUAUGUUUAACCUACGAGAAUUAGUAAAUUAUUUGCUUCUCAUUUUUUUCAAGCAUUUAUAACUGCAAUCAAAUUUUAAUUCAUAAUGCAAAAAUUCGAGACUUUAAGAUAACCAAAAAAGAACAAAAAUCCAUUCUAUUGUACAUCAAUGAGAAAACAUUCAAUUAAAACUUAAAACUUAAAACUACAAUGGUUAUACAAAUCCUUAAAUGUCACCUUCUCCUUGUUCCAACAACACCUCGAAACGUGGUAUCAAGGCGGGGAUUCGGCUUAUCUUUUGCAAUGUACCACAAAUAAUUCAAUGGUAUACUCAAGUUUCAUCAUAAAGAAAAGGUUAAAGACAAACAAUUUCAGAGCAACAAAAAUAGUUUUAGCCAAUUUGAGCCUUACUAGGCCUUUGAUUCUUCCCUUUAGCUUCAGGUGCCGGCUUGGUCUUGAAAGGCAGGAAAGACUUCCCACCCAUGUACGGUUGUAAAACUUCGGGUAUUUCGACACCAUCUUCUUUCUGGUAAGUCUCAAGUAUGCAGCACAUGGUCCUUUCUGUUGCGGUGAGAGUCGAGUUCAACAGAUGAACAUAUUGUUUUGCCUGUUCAUUGUUCUGAAAGUCGAAAACAACAGAAACACUAACAAAGCAUGAACCACAAAUUUCCUCAUCUAUAACAGGACAAACCAACAGGACCUACCUUUUUCUGCCCGUAUCUGAUUUCCAGUCGCCUUGAUUGAUAAUCUGUACAAUUCGAGCAAGACACCAGCUCUCUGUAAGUUUGAGAUGCAGGAAACCAUGCUUCCAAGUCGUAUUUCUUGGCAGCAGCAUCAUUAAGAGCGCCAGAAACAAUGGCGACGAUUUGAUAAGGUAGCUUUAGCUGCAAAAUGGGAUUUACACAAAUCCAUGCAAAGUCAAACUUUUAAUAAAAGGCAAACUACAGCAACUUAAGUUGGAGGGCAAAGACUCGUUUUAUUAUUAAGACCACAAGGACUGCCCAUUGAUAACCUAUGAAGCUAGCCUGAUUAGGUUCACUGGUCCAGAUAAAGUCGACAUUUAAAGAGUCCUAAGUAUAAAUAGAAAUGGAAUUAGGUGAAAGGCUGGGGAUCUUUUGCGUUCAAUAAAUUCGAAAAAUGUCUUACCUCCUGAUAAAAUUCCUCAGAGUUCUUCAACAUUUCCUCGUGCAUGUCCCACGAAUCAUUGCCAUUUGGGCUGGUAAUGCAGAAUUGCUCCACUUUCUCAAAUUGAUGAACCCGGAAAAUCCCCAAAGUAUCACGGCCAUGUGAACCGGCUUCUUUACGAAAGCAAGACGAAAAUCCAGCAUACCUGGGAAAAAACAGUUUUCAUAAACAAAAAGGAAGACAAUUUUUUAAUAGCAAUGGAGGCACCAUUUUGACAUGAUUAGAACCUUAUAGGUAGCUCCGAGGGCUGGAUCCAAUCAUCCACGUGGUAAGCACAGAGGGGCUGUUCGGCUGUUGCAAUAAGAUACUUGUCAUCACCCUCACCGGUCACCUGACAAAACCAGAUAUGCUUUCUUAUCAUACGAAAAGAAAAUAACAGUCAAAACAAUGAACCGCCAAAUGAAGAACACAUUUCUGAACAUUAAAAAACAACCAACACUUCUUUUUGUUCCUUUUUCAUAAUAUAUAAGAGAACAUUCCAUAAUAGAAAGUAAAUCAGUAUCAAGAAGAACCAAGUCAUCUAUGAAUCAAGAGCAUCUCAAUGGUACAAGGAAAGAAAAGACCAUCGAAGCAACAUGCAAAUGUUACCUUGUAAAGUUCCUCAUCGAACUGGGCCAAUUGAGCACACUUGGCCAUAACAUCUUUCCUCAUGAAGAAAGGUGUUUGCAACGCUGUAUACCCCCUUUUCUCCAAAAAAUCAAGCCCAAAAUUGAUCAAAGCUUGAUUGAGACGCACCCCAUCUCCUUUAAGGUAGAAACCUCUCCCUCCUGCUACAUCAGCACCUAUAGUACAAAGCGUGGGGUAAUCAGUUAAAACGAUUCAACAAUAAAAACAAACCAAGCCAAUUUGCCAGCCGAUUUCAUGCACGAAAUAUAUCAUAUAUUCAUAUUUUCUCCUCCCAAAGAAAUGCAUUCACAUUACGCAAGCCAGAGCAUGUUCACUCUCAAAAAAAUGAAUUACCCUUUUUCGUAUCAGCAAUCCCAAGAAGCUCGACAAGGUCAACAUGAUUCUUUAGUUUAGGCUCUGACCGCUUCUCACCCCAAGUUCUAAUCACAGCAUUAUUUGCCUGUAUUAUUUUAGUGAAAUAAGUCAAAAUAUUCUAAUUAAAACUAUUUAGCAAUAAAAAACUAUCCAAAUGAAUAAAAAUUUGCUGUGUAACUCACUUCAUCGUCACUGAUUGGAGCCGAAUCAUGCACAAGAUUCCCAAUUUUCUCCAAUUUAGAUUUCAAAACAGCCCAAGCAUCCUUAACUUCAGUAUCUUUCACAGCGAUUUUCUGUUUAAUCUCCUCUGUUUUUGCAAUCGUCUCCGUUGCAUCUUGCUUAGCCUUUUUUCCACACCAAUUCAAACAAUAAAAAUGCAAUUAUAGAAAAAAAAAAACUGUCACUAGAUAGAGAAAGAAACCCACAAUUUUAAGUUGAGCAACUUGCUUAUUGAUCUUGUUGAACUCUUUUCGCAGAUUUUCGAGAUCAUACAACACUGUAACAGACAUUUUACUAUUAGGAAAUAAAUAAAAGAAUAAGCAAAUCGAAACGUGAGAAAUGAAAGCGGUAAUUACAUUGACGAUAGACUUUGUCAAGGUCGAUGAUGGCGUCGACAUCUUCGACCUUGGCGAAACGACGACGUUGAGAUUCACGAAUGAUCUCUGGAUUGUGACCCUUUUCUUCUCUGAACAAAUUGAUAUCCAACAUUUUUGUUCUUUUUUUUUCCUCCUUUGAUUUCCCACAAAGCAGCUUAAUUCACUGACUGAAUAAGCUUAAGGCAAACACAGAGAAACCCUAGAUUCAGUGACUGUUUGUUUUCCUGGUUGGGUUUAUUCUUACUAUGGAUGGUAUUGUUUGAGCUUUUUGGGCACAAAAAAUGGCCUCAUGAAUUGGGCUUCUUUUACAUAUAUUAAAAAUUAGGUACACCAUUAACGAUACUAAAUUAUUAGUAAGUUCAAGUUUUAGUUAUUUAACUUCAAAAAGUUACAAAACGAUCUUUAAAUUAAUCGAAAGUUUUAAUUUAAAGCACUGAGCUAUUCAAAAAUUUUUAUUUAAAUUACUGGGUUGUUAAGUUUUUUUUUUUUAAAUUCAAUUAGUGAGCUCAAAGUGAUGAUUCAACGAUCGAUCCAAGCUGGCAAUCGUCCAUCUAUGAGUAGAAUAACAUACGUUAGAUCUAAGUCAAUUUAACGACUAGUGUCAGACAUUAGAGAAAAAAAACUGUUUGGAUUUUAGUUCGCAAACUCGCAACGUUCAAAACUAUUUCAACAGAAAAAAAAAAAACUAAACUUAAAGAAGAGAAAGGAAAAGAAAGCUUUCGAUUGGUGCAGGCAAUAAAAACAGAGAAGACCAUAUAAUUGUGAUUUUAAUAUCAUGGUGCUAUAAAUGAAAACUCUCAAAGAUAAUAAUGUAACUUUAUUGCUUGAGUACUUGUUCAAAUUAGCACAUACUCUAUUACAUAUCUUGCAAGUUAUAAACUUAAGUAGCUUUAGGCACAUAAUGUCCAUUCCUUAAUACACUUGAUAUGUAUAUUAUCUUGCUAACUCCAUUGGUAAAAAUCUUGAAUAUUUGCAUAUUAUAAAUGAAUUCAUACAAUGUCAUUCUUGUAGCACAAAUGUUACAGCUUAGAAGCAAUUACUUGAAAAGGAACUUGGCAUUCCCUCAAAAGAUUGAAACAAUUCAAGCAAGCAAAUGAGUGUUCAAAAAAAAAAAGGGGUGGCUGGCUAGUGACCAAGGCAAAUACUCUUGCAUCAUGCUACUACUCUCUUUGUGCAGUUUUUUGGAGCAUGAAGGCUAUGAAAGUUUGGCUCUUUUGGUAUGGUUGUAUGCCUUCUUCGCUGCGAUGAUGAUGCCUUCUUCGUCAAGGAAGUUCCAUUCUUGUUAGGGUCCGACGUUCCCUUAAGGGGUCUGGCCAUUGUAGGUGACAUUUCCUUAAUUGCACCGAGUUUCUUCCUACUCAAUGCUGCUACCCUGUAAGAAUUAGGAAUAUAGUUUUUUAUCCUUUAGAGAACAUACAAAUUUAUUUUCAUUGAUGAAAAAGCAAAGGAUAUUUCCAGAUUUGUUACUUACACUCGUGGUCUAGUCUUCUCUGAUCCACCCUCGGAUUUUUGAGUUGCCUUUUGAUGCAUAGGGGCGGUACGUUUUUGGGGAAUGGUUGAAAUCUUUCUUUCCAUGGAUCCUUUCGGUUUCAUCAAGCUAGAGAUCUUGAUGGUUUGCUACAAAGUAAAGUACAUACCAUAGGAUUAACUUCAGCAAAUUCCCUGGAUGACCAAUGAACACAGCUAUGGGAAACAAAUAGAAAUUUUAACUUACUGUUUGAUCUUUAUGUGUUCUUGUAUCUGAUUCAUUGUCGCCUUCAGGUGCUUGAAGAUGCUUCUUCUCCAAGUUUGCUUCCUUUAAAAUUCCUCUUUCCUGAACAGCCAGAAAAUUAUCAGGAUAACAUAAAGAAAUUUUGAUGCCCAUUUUGCAUUUUAAUAAUAUCUACAAUAAACAAUGCCAUACAUCUGUUCUAAGUCGAAAAGGCUUCGGAUUUGUAAGCUUAGGCUUUCUGUAAUUCAUUCCUUGAGCACCUUUAACUGCGGUGGAGUUUUCUUUCAUUGUCUUACUUAUCACUUUAGCAACCUGCAUCAUCAUGAACAGACAUUAGAAAAACCAGAAAGAUAUAUUAGACAACAAACAAAGGAUAUAACUUUAUAAACAAGCUACCUUUUGAAUGUUUUUAUGAGUCUCAUUCAUCAACUUGCCCGUGUCACAAUCCAAUUUUCUGCAAUAAAUUUUGGUGCAAAUUCAACGGUGAAUGCAAGUGAAUAAUAAAUAAACAAAAGUAUGAACAAACAUGUCAUGAAUUCCAUACCUGUUUUCAUCAGAAGCUGCAUAAUUUUCCUUGUUAUUGUCAAUUUCCAUGACUUUGCUUUCACUUACUCUGAUAUUAGAUGCCAUAGCAUUUUCUUUGUCGUCGUCGCCCUCUGUUGCUUCAGGGAUUUCAUUGUCCUUAGGACAUGGUUCAAUGUUCUCUUCAUGGCUGCUCCUUGAGGGACCUGUUGCUUGCUCCAAUAUAUCUGAAGGAUUCUUAGAAGUACUAUCAAUUGUGUCCUGUUCAUCCUGUUGACGACCCAAAGCAGCUUCAGACAAUGGUAACUCAUUUUCGUUCUUCUUUUUCUUCAAACGAUUUAUAGAUUUAACUUCUUGAGUCUUCUGAUUCUGGCAAUGCAAAGAAUCGUAUAAUCGGCUUUUAACCUCUCUCCCUCUUAACUGUUUCCUUGGAGCAGCUAAUGGUUUAUUACACCCCAAUGCAUUCUUCUUACUCCCAUCAGUAAUCUCAAGCUUCUUCAUCCCUGAACAUAUCCUCCUUAAUGAACUACUCCAUUCCACAGACUUCUUCAACUUCACUGCCUUCUUUGGAGAAUGAAAGACCAAAGCCUUUGCCACCACUCUAUCCUUUGGCACCUCGACCGUAGUCGGUUUUGGGUUCCUAACACUUCGAAAAGUACCCGGAUUCGACACCCCUUUCUUGUUCCUUGGAGUAGUCAAGGCCUUAGUAGAUGGUUGCUUUGCUGCUGUUGCCUUCUUCACAUUUGGGGUAGUCGAACUCUGCUUAACUUUCACUUUAGCUUCACCCAUCUUUGUUGAAAUGGAUGAGAUCAUAGCCAAUCUUGACACUCUAGACUUUGAAGAUUUAGCAGGAACCGUACGGGGACAUUCCAAUUUCAACCUAAAAUGACAAUAAAAAACAGCCUCAAUCAGUACCAUCAUCAUUGCAACAAGAAGGACAUGAGUUCAAGCAUGCUUAAGCACGUUUAAGGGCUUGGAGGAGUUAUAGGUACGAUGUAGGCAUUGUAUAUAAAAUCAAACAAUCAAUGAAGAAAAAAUAGAAUGCAAAUCUCAGUGAAGAACAUUUCCAUGUAUAUACCUUGAGUCUCUUCUGCAAAGAGCUUUUCUAAGCCCAACACUUGGACUCCUAGCCGCCAUAACCUGAAAGAUUCAGUUCUUUAAGUUCAGCAAUCACUUAAAGACAUGAAAAAAUGAAAAGGGAAAACAAAAAAGGGAGCAAAUUUUGUACUAACCCUAAGCACAAAAUUUUUAUAAAUUUCUUCAGGAUCCAUUUCUUCUUCAUGCUUUUGAUCACAUCCUGAGAAACAAGAACAACAAAAAAACAUCAUUGAGACCUAAAAUCGAGUACUAGUUUGUUUUAAACCAAAUUAAUGAAACCCAACCACAAAUGUAAGCUUUGUUCUUAUCUACGAAAUCAAAUUAUAGUUUCAAGCAAAAUGGACCUCACCGACACGGAGGCAAAACCAGUAACGGUCAUCAUUUUCAGUGCGGCAACGAUCAGGUGCGGCGAGGUCUACGAACUUGGGAGCCUCAAUCUUUUCGUAGAAUUCGUCGCCGAUUACUUCUUCGUCGCCGGCACCGUUGAUCUGAAAUUCGUCCAUUUUUCGUUGCCGGAGAUCUAAGAUACGAUGAAGCGGAGCGUAAACUAGCCGGUAGAGAGUCAAAGGCUUUGGCAAGUAGUAUUUUCCUUUUUGUUCUUGGAAGCCGUUCCCUUAGUCGAUUGUUUUAAAUUUGUUGCAGGUUCUGUAACUAGCCGUUACAGGCAUAGGGGUAAUAUAGUUUGGAUCAGAAGGGUGUUUUGGUAAACUGCAUAUUGGAUAAUUGAGACAACAACCGUUUCCGCUUGUCCAUUCCUCAACUAAUAUUUCAAAUAUAUUUAAUUGAUCCAUUUCCAACUAGUGUCUAAAUUUCAAAUCAAUCUUUUAAUUUUAAAAUAUUUUAAUUGAGUCCUUAAUAUUCAAUAUUGUAUCAAUCAAGUCCUUCUAUAAAUUUAUCUAUUAGCUCAAAUACGAUGUAGAGUACAUUUAAAACACGUGAUUCAAACUGUAAAUUAUUUAAAUGAUAAAUAUCAAAACUGUACAUGAAUUUUAGUUCAAUGUCCAAUUCUAUACAUGAAACUUUGAUUUGACUCAAUUUUCACAAAUCACUAACAACAUUUUCGACAUAACAUUAUUAUACAUUGAUGUAUAAAUUUAAUAUUCAUUCCAUCUUUUAGCAUGUUAGAUUCAAAUCGUCCAUACAAUAGGAUUAAAUCAUAAUUUUAUCAUUCUUGAAAGUCAAAAUAUAAUUUCACUAUAUUUUGAAGGGUUUAAAGGAGAUUUUCCCAUUUUAGGGGUCAAGGCCAUUGCCUACCCCUCCUAAGUACACAAAUGUUUCUAGUCCGAUAAAAAGACCUGAUUGAUAAAAUAUUAAUACUUUAAGGACUUAAUUAAAAUGUUUAAAAAUUUAAGAAUCUUACUUAAACUUUUAAACAUAUUUAAAGUAAGACAGCAUUGAUUAAAGUCGGCCAAAAAGGCAGUAUUAAAAUGAAUCGUGUGGUUUUUAAUUUUUACCUACUACAUACGUGUUUGAUAAAAGAGUACACGUAGUUAAAUUAGGUUUAAGUCAAUUAAGUAGUAAUAUGGAUUAUUAACGUAGUCAAACCCCACAAAUCUUUUAUUUCCUUUAAUUGCACAACAAGUCUUGGUUUAAUUUAAUUUAUAUGCUCCAAUUAUUAAUUAUUUAUCAUUCAUCCAAAUGAGAUUUUUUUUUCAAGAAAAAUGUUCACCUCGAAGCUAAUUGCAUUAGUCUUUCUUAAACUUCAAAAUAUUCUAAUUACACCCUCAAGUUAUCGAUGUUAAAUCAAUCAAUUCUUUCAUUAUUGAAACCAUGAAUUUAACCAUAAUAACAUGCGCAUUCUUAUGUGAUAUAAAUUUUAAAAUUAGAAGAAAAAAAAAAGAGUGAACAUUAGUUUCUGUAAAACCUUCGAAAACCUCAAAAAUUUGAUUUUUUUUUUCAUUUCAAAUUAUGUCAGAUAAGAUUUGACGUCACAUUUAACGGUUAAAUUAACAAUUUUAGUAGCAAAAGGAUUUUAUUGAUAUAACAUCGAUAGUUUAAGGAUAUGUGUUUAAAAUAUUUAAAAUUUAAAGACUAAUUUAGAAUGAAGUUCAUAGUUUCGGAUAUUUGUGCAAUUUAUACUCAUAUUAAUUUAUUAAGAAUUCGAGGUCUUUUUCCACUUUAUUAUAUGAAAGUUUGAAUCUUCCUUCAAGAAAAACAAGUAGGGGAAUCCUAACAACUCAAGAAAAUAUAAGGUUAAAUUCUAAUAUUAGUACCUUUAUUAUAUGAAAGUUGUGGAUUUAGUUCCUAUAAUUGAAUUUGAUUAUUUUUAGUCAUUAUACUUUUUAAAUUUUAAAAUUUCAACCAUGACCAAAAAGUACUUAUUAAAUUCAUUAAGUUCUGUUAUUUCUUUACACAUAUAUGUAAUAUGUGAAAAACACGGACUAAAUCUAUAAUUUUACAUAUAAUACAGGACUAAUAGCAAAAUUUUAUGGAAUUACAAAUUGAAAAUGAAUUCGAAUAUGAAUAACUAAUCUCCUGUCUAUUUAAAUUUUAUGUAAUUACAAAUUAAUAUAAUGGUAAAUUUGAAUCUUGACCUCUCUAAAAAUUUAUUAUUCAAUUUUGGCCCUGUUUGCCCCUGCUGUCCUUAUAUUAAAAAAAAAUCAUUUUGUAGUAAAAAAAUUUGAUCCAAAAAGUUUGUAUCAACUCCACUUUAAGCUAAAAUCAAGUGUCUGAGUAACUAUGAUCCUUUACCAGAAUCAUGAACUGUGUACUAAUUCAAUAGUUAUCCCAUGGCUUACAUAGUUUAAUAAUUUAAUAAUUUAAUAAUCUUGAUUAAGAGAUUAAAUGGUAAAAAUACCAUGGAGGCCCUUGUAUUAGAAGUCGGCUUGCAUUUUGUUGUCUCUACUAAAAAAUGGACAAAUUAAUCCCCGUAUAUUAGAUCAAAGACCAAACCAAUCCUUCUAUUAAAAGUUCCAUCAACUUUUUACGGUUAAAAACUAGUCUUUGUACAUUAGCAUUUCGUUAGCUACGCCAUUUUUAACAGUAGAAAUAGAUGGAAUUUUUAAUAGAAAUGACCAUUUUACUCUUUGAUCUAACGUACAGGGACUGAUUUAUUUAUUUUUUGAGUAAAAGGAGCAAAAUGCGAUCUGACUUCUAAUACAAGGGCUUUUGUGGUAGUUUUACCGAGAUUAAAUAUAUAUUAUGGAUACCUAGCAAACUGGAAUUAAAAGGUCUCAAAGUUUGGCAGUAAUAAUAGCGUUCUAAAAUCACAACAAAACAUAAAACAGAACCUUCGUUGAACUUUAAAACACAAAAAAACUUCAUAAAUUCAGACAGUUUUACAUUUCAUUAUAUAUAUAUAUAUAUAAAAAGUACCCUCAGCUACCUUAUUCCCUCACUAAUUAAAUCAUUCAUUGUUCAUCUUAUAAUAUCAUGGCUUACGAAUAUAUAUUUGGAAUCUUUGCCUGUUUUCUUGGUUUUGUUUUGUUUUAUUACAAUACAAGAACCAACAAAACGGCGGCCGCGACAGCGUCAACGGUGGUUUCGGCCCGUAAUGGUGAGGUUACUGAGGGUACUGCAACUGAUAUUAUUAUUGUUGGUGCUGGUGUUGCUGGUGCAGCUCUUGCUUAUACACUUGGAAAGGUCCUUACAUCACUUAUUUCACCCUGUUGUAACAUGUUUUCAAUGGUAACAUGUUUUCUUUUUCGGUUUAUUGUACGAUUCAGGACGGACGGCGAGUACGUGUGAUCGAAAGGGACUUAAAUGAACCCGAUAGGAUUGUUGGUGAACUUUUACAACCAGGGGGAUAUCUUAAAUUGAUUGAAUUAGGCCUUGAAGGUAUCCGAGAACGUCAUGUCGGUUGUUGUGAGGUAAAAGUAUCAUAAAUGUUCUUCUAUUAGAAGUCGGAUUGUAUUUCGUCCCUUGUACGUCAGAAUGGACACGUUUAUUCUGUCAGCCAUGUCAGUUUUUAACAAUAAAAAUGGAUAAAAAUUUUAACAAAAAUGACCAAUUUGCUCUUUGAUCUAACAUACAAUAACUAAUAUGUCUAUUUUUUUAGUAAAAGGGACAAAACGCAAUCUGACUAUUAGUACAAGAGUCUCUAUGAUACUUUUAUGUUGUUGUGAUCUUUGCUCUCUCUCUCUCUCUCUCCUUUUUUGGGUAUUUAACAUUGGCCUUUGGUGUUGUAGAUUGCGUAGAUGAGAUUGAUGCUCAACGAGUUUUCGGGUACGCUUUGUUCAAAGAUGGAAAGAAUACGAAGUUGUCUUAUCCUUUGGAAAAUUUCCAUUCCGAUGUUGCCGGACGAAGCUUUCAUAACGGACGUUUCAUUCAAAGGAUGCGCCACAAAGCGGCUUCUUUUCCCAAGUAAUAACGCUCUCUUAUGUUAUUCCAACUUUUCAUUUUUUUUUUUAAUAUUCAUAUAAGAUACACGUAUUCAUAUACAGUGUGAGUUUAGAACAAGGGAGUGUCACAUCUCUAAUAGAAGAAAAAGGGACUGUUAAAGGAAUUCAAUACAAAACUAAGGAUGGUCAAGAAUUUAUGGCCUAUGCUCCCCUUACGAUCGUAUGCGACGGUGGUUUCUCAAAUUUACGACGCUCUCUUUCUAAUCCAAAGGUUAAGAAUUUUUUGUUCGAAUCUUGUUUAAAUCAAGCACUUGAUCGAUGAUGUAACGAUAUUCGGUUUUUUCGUUUAGGUCGAUGUACCUUCUUGUUUCGUCGGUUUGAUUCUCGAGAAUUGCGAGCUUCCGCAUGCGAAUCAUGGACAUGUUAUAAUAGCAGACCCUUCGCCUAUCUUAUUUUACCCUAUUAGCAGCACUGAGAUUCGUUGCUUGGUCGACGUACCCGGCCAAAAAGUACCUUCGGUUUCCAAUGGUGAGAUGGCUCAUUACUUAAAAACAAUGGUGGCUCCCCAGGUAACUCGGAGUUAGUUUAUGUUCCGGUAAGUAUGUUUCGAAUCCCUAGGAACAUUUAACUGAUAUUUUGGUCCAAUUAUGCAUGUCAGAUUCCUCCACAACUAUACACGGCGUUUAUCACUGCGGUCAACAAGGGAAACAUAAGAACCAUGACGAAUAGAAGUAUGCCAGCGGCUCCACAACCAACCCCGGGUGCACUUUUACUCGGUGAUGCAUUCAAUAUGCGACAUCCUUUAACUGGAGGAGGAAUGACUGUUGCUUUAUCCGAUAUUGUUCUCUUAAGGGAUCUUUUAAGACCACUCCAUAAUCUUCAUGAUGCAUCUGCUCUUUGUAGAUAUCUCGAAUCGUUUUACACCUUACGAAAGGUAAACUUCGAACAUAUUCUUAAAAAUUCAUAUAAUCAAAGCAAGUAAACACUUACUGGAUGGUAUCGGCAUCGGUUUUUAUGACCUGCAGCCAGUGGCAUCUACAAUAAACACAUUGGCUGGUGCUUUAUACAAGGUAUUUAGUGCCUCAGCUGAUAAAGCAAGGGAGGAAAUGAGGGAAGCAUGUUUCGAUUAUUUGAGCUUAGGAGGUGCAUUUUCCGAGGGACCGAUAUCUCUACUCUCCGGUCUAAACCCGCAUCCUAUAAGCCUAGUGCUACAUUUCUUCGCCGUGGCAAUAUACGGUGUUGGCCGUUUGUUACUUCCAUUUCCUUCUCCCACACGCAUCUGGACUGGGGCUCGAUUGAUUUCGGUUGGCAUCUAAUCUAUCUUCUUGUUUCUUUUACGAAUCGUGUUUCACCACAAUCCAUGAUGUUUUUUGCUUAUAAUAAUCCGUAUUUUCAGGGUGCAUCGGGCAUUAUCUUCCCUAUUAUCCGAGCUGAAGGAGUUAGACAAAUGUUUUUCCCUGCAACUGUGCCUGCAUAUUACAGAGCUCCUCCAGUUGAUUAAUUUGAAGAACAAUGGAAAAUUUCAGAGCAAACCAAGCUUUAUUUUCCUACCUACCAAACACUGAGUUGGAAAAUUUGUCACAUUCUUUUAAUACUUUUUUCUAGCUAAGAAACUAAAACAAAUGUCCAAUAGGAAUUAUGUAAGCUAUUAUUUCAGAGAAUUCACAUUAUAUUACUUUCAUAAUAUAUCAAAAUUGGCAUUACCAAUACCUGUGAUCUAAUACUGCCAUCUGCUUUAAUAAACAAGAUUUUCAUGGAAAAUCAUGAUACUUCCAUGGAAAAAUCGAGAUUUUUCUUCCUUAUUUGCUUGGCGAAUACAGGCGGUUAUUUAUAUAAAUAAAAAGGUAGUUUUCAGUGAAUGUUAUAGGAUAAAUAAGAAGCAUUACUAGUCUUUUCUAAGCAUAGAAUCUGACGAGAUAUUCCGAGCAAUAUUACAGAAUUGAGAACAAAAAUCAUAGAAGCAUACGGCCUUUGGUCUCCGGUCUGAAACCGAGGUAACCGGUCAAAUGCUAUUAGAUUCAAUUGUAAAGCUGCUUGAAUCUUCUGCAAGCUUCCAAGACAUUCUCCCUGUGACCAAAUGCGCUGACUCUGAUGAAACCCUCACCGCCAGGUCCGAAACCACUUCCAGGCGUAGUAACAAUGUGGGUCUUCUCGAGUAUUUCGCUGAACACAUCCCAUGAGUUACGGCCAGGGAAGUGAACCCACACGUAUGGUGCAUUCUUUCCUCCAUAUACUUUAAACCCAAGCGAGUUGAAUGUUUCUACUAUAAUUUUGGUGUUUUCUUUAUAGAAGCCGAUCACCUCUUGCAUGGCCUACGAAGAAACAAAACCCAAAAUCAGGAGUUUUGCUCUUGCAUGCUUUGACAAUAAAGCGGGCAAGGACACUAACCUCGAGCCCUUCGGGUGAAAGGCAAGCCAAGCCACCAGCUUGGGCAAUAUUAGAUGCACCGUUAAAGCAAGUACAAAUGAUACGGUUGAAGUCUUUGGCAACAGGGAAUCCAUCUGAGAACAGAAGCUGUUUUGGAACAACAGUCCAACCAAGACGAACCCCAGUAAACCCAGCAUACUUACUAAAAGAAGAUGUUUCAAUUGCAACCUACAAUAUCGAAUAAGGAAAUUUACACAUCAAUUGUAUAUUUAUCCUUUAGUUCUCUAGAUAACAAGCAGGGGUGAAGGGAACCUCUUUUGCUCCGGGAAUUUCAAAGAUAGAACGAGGGUUAUCGUCUGACAUAUACAUAGCAUAUGCAGAAUCAUAGACUAUGAUAGACCCAUUGUCCUUCGCAAACUUAACCAAUCGAGUCAAUUGCUCUCGUGUUGCAGCAGCACCAGUAGGAUUGUUUGGUGAACAGAAGAAUAUGAUAUCAGUUCUAGCAACUUUGGAUAAAUCAGGAAAGAAUCCAUUCUCGGGUGUACACCUCAUAUACUCGAUAUUUCCAUACUUCUCAACAUCUUUUUGAAACUGUCCAGUCUGACCCAUGAUAACGCUGGAAUCUACGUAAGCCUGCAUUGAAUAGCAAAAAUUAUAGAGACACAAGAAGCUAUUUCUUUUACAGCUAAAUGUUUCUCUUCCCCACAUUCCGUUAUUAUUAUUUGUUUUCCACAGGUCUACCUAGGUCAAAUAAACAAACUAAAAAGUCGUUCAUGGUAAGAAAAACCAUGGAGGCCCUUGAACAAAAAGUCAUUGCAUUUUGCCCCCUCUAUUAAAAAAAUGGACAAAUUAGUACUUGUACAUUAGAUCAAAGAGCAAAUUGAACUUUCUGUUAAAAAUUCCAUCCAUUUCAACUAUUAAAAACUGGUCACUAUUUGUCAGCAUGAGGUACACAUGACAUGCCACGUGUCAAUAUCUAGUUAUUCCUACAACCUUGCCAGUUUUUAAUAAUACAAAUAGAUGAAAUUUUUAAUAGAAAAUAUCAAUUUGCUCUUUGAUUUACUAUACAGGUACUAAUUUGCCCAUUUUUUUAGUAGAGGAAAAAUACAAUCUAACUCUUAAUACAGGGGCCUCCAUGGUACUUUUACCAUCGUUCAUUGAAGCUUCAUACACCAGGGAACCAGACCAACUAAACAUGACAUGAAAAAAGUAGAUUGAAAAAGAUUUGACAUAUUAAGACAACAAAGAAAAGUUACCGGGUAUGACGGGUCUUGCACUGCCAUUGUGACACUAGAUCCAAAAACAACCUGGCCAAAAGCAAAACCGCAACCCCCAAGAUUAUUUCGGAUAGACAAGUUAAAAUACUAAUAAUAAAAGAAAUCUCACAACUAAAUCAAACCUGAAGGCGAGAUAUGUCACAUUUAGCACCAUCUGAGACAAAAAUAUCAUCAUCCUCAAUGCCAAGGUUGCGAUAGAAUGUUGAAGCAAGUGCAGCUCUCAAUGCCUGCACAAAUUAACAUUAAGGUUGUAUUUUGAAACUUAAUAUUUCACAUCUAAACAUAAUAAAUGCCAUUUAUAACACUAGUGAACUUAUUUAUAGUCCCAAUUAAAUCCAAUUGGGGCCUUUAAUUUGUGGUUUGAAAAUGAUUUAUGCGUACUACUAAUAAAACCAAACCAUAACUUCAUUAAUGAGCUUCAACUUUGAAGUAUACAAUUUACGAUAAAGACUCAAAACGGCAUACCUUUUCACCUUGUUCAGCUCCAUAACCACUGUAACCCUCCAGCGUAGACAAUGCAUGAGACCUCUGCCAAAUAGAAAAUAAUUCAAAUGAAUAUCAGACCCUACUUGUAAAUGUAUUUUUCUUUAACCCUAUUACAUAAGCUUGAAUAGAUUUUGAUGAUAGAAGUGAGAAACCUCAGGUAGAAACCAAUAUUUAGCCGUAAAUUGACAAAAAAAAAACAAGUAAUACUUACCUUAGACAUUGCAGACGUAAUAACAUCUGGAAUAGGUUCAGUAGUAUCACCGAUUCCAAGGCUUAUCACUUGUGCAUUCGGGUACUUGAGCAAGUGUGCAGCCCUUCUCCUGGCAACCUAUUACAAAAAUAUUAAAAAAGUACACUCAAGAGCAAAUAAAUGGAACUCGAGAAAACCGACUGAGCAAACCAUGUCUUCUUAUAAAAACCAAUGGCAAACAUAAUCAGUAUCUUGAGGGAAAAGUUUAUAUAUAACAUCAAUGACAACAAAGAAAAGCAUUAGACACAAUGAGAAAUGACACGGACCUCUGGAAACAGGUAACCAGCUUGAAGCUUAGCUAUGUUCGCAUUGCGAGAAACUUUAGUUUUGUAAGCUUCAAAACAAACAGAAACCCUAAUUCAGUCAUAAAAUUAUUCAAGUUUAAAAGCACUUAAUGAAAAUUAAGUCAUUUGUGCAACUACUCAUGAAUUGAACAGUUUGUUCUCAGUAACAUUACCAACUCAACUAGCUUUAAAACAACAAAAAUUAAAGUAUCAACAUACCAAAAAAAGCAAUAAUAAUGAAAAGUUAUAAGAAUGAUCACCAUUUUGUUGUUCCUGAGGAGUGGCAACACAUUUAACUAUAUUGAUGUUUUUCAAUGGAACUGAAACACUCUGGGUUCUGCAGCAUUGUACCAAUAAAUAAAAACCCAACAAAAGAAAUUAAAAAAUAAAAUAAGAACAUUGUUUAAUGAUAAAAUGAAAGAGAACUGGGUUUUUGUUUUCUCAGAAACCAAACAGAAGAAAAUCAAAAGGGAAAAAAUAGUACCUUGAAUUGAAACUGGUUGGAGCCAAGAAAGUAGAUGAAGAUGAAGAAAUCAUUGAAGUUGAUAGAUUGUUCAUCAGAGACAUUUUCAGAUUUUUUCCCCCUUUUUUUUCCCUCCGAAAUUAAUGGAAAAAGCUGCUUCUUUUUUAUGCGGCCAAAUAACCACAAAUGUGAUGCCUUCACGAUUAUAGGCCGAAGCUGAUAUUAAACCCUAACGGGCUAACCCUAAUAAUUGGGCUCUUCGAGAGUCAACGUAGUCAAAAUUAAUUACUUUCACGCACCUUAUACCACGUCAUGUAGGGCCCAAUUUUUGUCUUGUUAUUAUCCGACGUGGAGGACACCCUUCCCACGCGAAAUAAAGGAAAAUAACAUUUACGCGCUAAUUUUAAAAUAAAUAAAUAUAUACAUACUAUUUAGGAAAAGUGAAAAAGCCUUCACCUUCAAUCCAGAAUAAAUUUUGGAUUAGGGUUUUCGAUUUCAAAGGAGAAAAGCGGUGUGGUUGCUAAAAUUGAUCCGGAUUUUCACUUUGGAUUUCGCAUUAGCCGUUUAAUUGAUUGGGUAAGUUUACUGAUUUUAUUGUUUUUGAUGUUUAUUUUGCUUAGAAAUCUUACUGUUCAAGUUGUUUGUGAGGCAAAAAAAAAGGGGUUUUAAUUUCAUUUUUGGGGGCUUUUCGAUAUGAACUGCUGGUUUUUAAUUGGGUUUUGAGGAUAAUGAAAAAGGGAUUUUUUUUCCUGUGCCGAUGCGUGUCGAUUAAGAUAAAUGUAUUGAACUAUGGCUUGGAUAAUUAAAAUUUUAUGUUGUUUAUAUUUGGUGUUGGGGCUGUUAGUCUUCCAUGCUAAAAUCUCUGGGUUUUCUUUGGAGAAAUCAAGAGAGCCUAGUUUUCAUAUUUGAUCAUAGCUUUUUAAUGGGUAUUGAUAGUUUUUUUUGUUCAAAUUUGUGUUUUCCAUGAGAAAUCUGUUAAAGUCAUCUGGGUUUUAAUAUGCUAUUGCAGCUUAAAUGGAUUUGGAAACUGAAAACAGAAUAGCAGCUAUUCUGUUAAAAGAGGCAGCCGAACUGAAACGGCAAGCGGACAAGGAAGGUGUUCAUGUUUAUCUUCAGCAGCCAAAAGUAAGGGGUCGGCCAAAUUCGCGCUUCCUCACCGCUACUGUGCUUGGUGUACAGCAAGGUUUGUUAUCCCAUUCUUCUAUUAAGCUUGCAUUUUCUAAUAGUAGAGCGAGUUUAGGUUAAGGUUAGUAGCAACAGUGACUAGUUUUAUGAAUUCUCAUAAAUUCGAAUACGAGUGUAUGAAAGAACUGAGGGAUCUUUUACAUACCUUAAACUAAUGAUGAUUAGGUUCUCCUUGAAAGCACAAGUAUGGUACACGUGAAUCUAAUUGAUUAGUAGAAAAUAAGAUGGCAGUUUCCCCUUUUGGAUUUUAUUGCUAAUGCAUGUAUGCUGUGUGUGCUUGUUUCUUUCCCUUCUUUCUCAGCUAACCGAGCUGUUGAAGUGAAUGAGAUGUGGCGAGUUCGACAAAAGGAGCUUGAAUUAAACGAUAGGCUAAAAGGAAGAUCAAAAAAAGAUACCAGCCACAGCAGGAGUUAUGGGGACACUAGCAAUUCCUCCAGAAGAACCAGUGGGAAGCAUGAGAGUGAUUUUAGUGCUUCAUGCUCAUCAAGCAAGAGACCAGCCAAGAGUUCUCGUUCAAUGGAAGAUGAUGAAGGUCUAAGAGAUGAAGAGAUCGAGGAAUUUCUUCAGUCAAGGUUUGUACCUUUAACCAGUUGUAAUUUUAUCCCCAGCAUUCAUAUGGAAAACUGACUGACACAAACCUGUUUUAUGAUGACAGAGUGAAGCGCGGUCGAGGUUCUAUAGGUUCAAGGAUGGAUGAAACAGGACCUUACCUACCCACUGACUCUCCAGGAAUGCCGUCAACGGACCCCAUUAUAAGGGAACAUCGUGUCACAUUAGGUCCCAAGAAACCACCUUCACUGAAAUCCGAGGAAUCUUCUUCCGAUGAGGAAGUUCGAGAACAUAGACGGAAGAAAGAAAAAGACCAUUCUAAGAGCUCAGAUAAGAAGCAUAGAAGGAAGCAUAAAUCUAAAGAAAAAUAUAUAGAUAAGAAAAAGAAGAGGAAGGAAGAAAAAAGAAGUAAACAUCGGAAGUGAGUAAUAUAAAGGUUUUAUUAUCAAUUUAUGUACUAUUUGGUGACAAUCAAUAGUUUAUUUUUAUCUAAUUUUAUGUACCAUUUGUGGUAAUAAUCAAUGAUUGAUUGUAGCUUUGUAAAAUGGGUCAUUCCGUGUUCUACGAUGAAAAUAUGCAUAAAAGCUGACGUUGAGGCUUUCUUUCUUUCGGCCCCCGUUUUAGACCCAAUUUCAUUAUUACUUAGUAAACUCCUUUUUUGUUAUGGAUGACCGUAUAAUUAUUUAAUUUUGUAAUUUUUUUCACCAAUGGUAAUUUCUAAAUUUUUCGUAAUAACAAUUUUAACUCUUAAUAGUUACACAUUAUAUCAAUUUAGUCUUGAUAUUAAACCAUCUAACCCUUAAAUUUUGAAUCUUGUAUAAUUUGACUUUUUUUACUCUUCUAACCUAAAAAAUUAAAAAAAAUAAAUUAAAAGUUCACAAAAAUUUGCAACAAACGAAAUACUAAAAAUUUCAAGAUAGUAGUUUUCAUCUUUUCUUAUUCCUUUUAAAAUUAAUCUUCAAUAUCACAAAAAAAUCAAAUUACACAUAACGUUAACUUUUUUAGAAUCAAAGCUAAAUGAUAUAAUUUAUAAAUGUUUAGGUUAAAGUUAACUAUAAUGCUAAUUUUAAAUGCUACCACCAUUAGCCCACUAAUAAGCGAAAAAUAUAAAUUAAAUAAUUAGGUAAUUAUUAGAUAACUAAAAAAUAUUUACUAAUAUUUAGAUUAUUACUAAUGUAGUUUACUCAAAAAAAACAUAAGCACUUAAACAAACCUAUAAUCGAGCUAGGCUAAAUCCAAAUAUGGACAAUGUUGAGCUCGACUCAAAAUUAUCUUGAUUAAACACAAACUCAACUCAAGAUGUAAGCCCUAUUUGGCAAUUAGUUGAUUGUUAAUUGCAGUGACUGGUUUGAUCAACUAAUUCUAUUAACUGUUUAUUUAAAAGUAUUUGGUGAAACUUAGUUGAUAGUUGAAAGCUGAUAUAUGUAAAGAAAAAAAAACACCAAACAAACAAACAAAUAAAAGCAUGACACAUUUCAUUGUUAGGUAUUUAUUUGUUUAUAAUACUUUAGUUUUUAUUAGGUGAAAUUAUUGAAACAAAACAUUAUUAACAAAGAAAUAAAACAUUCAUUAUGCAAAUUAAUUAGUGAAUAUUUUUAAAUUUUAAAUAAACAAAUUUCUUAAGUUAUUUAUUUGCAAAUAUUAACGUUGUAGUGUAUCAAUAUAAUUGCAAACUAUAUUCUUAGUCAUAAUUAUGACAUGUUCUUAGUAUGUAAAUUAAUGAUAAUUAUGUCAAACUUCUGAACAAAUUUAUAGUAGCAUAUUUCGAUUAAUGUAAAGUUACAUAAUGAAUCAUUUUACACAAAUAAAUCGAAAAUAAAUUAAGAAUAUAUAAAUAUUCAAGAAAUAGAUGUGACAAAGAGUAAUUUUUGAGCAAGCAUGUGACAAAGGGAAUAAAAUAUUUUUGAUCGAACUAUAAAAAAAAAAAAACUCAAAACUCUGUUUUCCGAACACCUCAUACUCAAAACUACUCAAACUUGAUUAAGCUUAUUUAUCAAUUUUUGUACCCGUAAUCCAGCUUGUGUUCGAAAGAUAAUAACCUAAUUUAAUAAUAUAAGAUAUAUAAAAAUAAAAAAUAAUAAUAAAACCCACAACCAAUUGCUUGAGUUCAAACUCAACUAAUAAUUAUCAAAUUGCGAAUAACUAGAACAAAAUAAAAUAAAUUCAAGUUUUUAGAUUACCAUACAUUUAUAAAUGGAAUGCUUGCUUUUGUCCUACUUACAAAAAUAUAUAGUUUCCAUUAACUCGAAUGCCUAAUGCAUUUCGCAUACAACCAGCAUGUGUCUACAAUAAGCUCUAACAAACCAAAUUCUACUGCGUGCCAAACAAGAAACAACAAAUAAUCAGUGCCGUAGAAAAACUUUGCGACGAAGUAAGGCAAAUGUCAUGAGUCAUCGUAAUGAUGAUCCGUCUCGUCAAAGAUCUCCUCCUGAGAAAGGUCACAUCCAAGGCAAAUGUGUGAGAAACGUUUGACGGAAAUGAAAUCGGAAGUUAGCUAAUAGUAGGAAUAUGUACCUGUAAAAGCUCUUCAAUGACAUCUUCCAUUGUUAUAAUGCCAACAGCCUCCUCUUCUUCAGGGAGCUGUGGGAGUGGAUUGCCAUUUAGAUGUAAGAUGUCAGAAUCAGUACCCUUUGACCAUUUCCGGCUCCGUGAACCACUUUUAAAAGAAUCAUUUGAAGUGGGAAAGCUCUUCCACUUCUUCAGUGAUCGUUUACGUCUUACAGCGUUUUCUUGAGGAUAUUUCUCACCAUCAAUGUCAACCUUCACUUCCGGCAAAGGGCCUAUUUCAAGAGAGGAACAAACAGAUAAAGACGAAUAUAAAGCAAUAGAGAAUUAUGCAUUAUAAACAAGUUUCCAUGGACGGGUAACUGGUAUAAGUGGAAAUUCAGUGAGAAUAUUCUAAUAAGAGGGUGAUAAUUACUCCUAGAUGAGUUGCUAGAAGGCGGCUGGUCUGUCUUGUUGCACUGUCUUACAACAACGGCCAUAUGGCUAUGACCUUUUUGAAAUUCAUUUAAUAUAUCGUACAACGGUAGAGUGUCUUGAACCCUGUACCAAGCAAAUAUACAAAUACAAAUAUGGAGGAUCAACCAAUGAGUAUGGUGCAGAUAGUGACAUUCUUUGCAGAACGACAUGAAUACAACAAGUCCAUUUCUUUUAGAGUUUAUUUAAUAUAAGAUACCUUGGAAUCCUUCGUAUAGUGACACUCUUCACAGGAACUUCAUCUUCAGGGUGGACUGUUAAUAAAUUCUUGACCUGUGAGAUUAAAAGAUAAAUGGUGUUCAAUAAAAUACCAAAAUAAAAACAUUUGAAAGUAAAAGCCUAAGGAAUAGGGAAACGUCAAAUAAGUAACAAAAUGUUAAUGUUCAGAAAGGAACUCGUAUAAAGGUGGUGGGAUGCAUUAAUGAUUCAUGCAACCAUUAGCAUGGCUAACUAGAAAGCCUGUCAUAUCACAGAGCAUCAUCCAGUUGGAAACAAUUACAUAAUAACACUCGACAAACUAUAAACGAUGUUAGUUUUAGCUGAAGAAAAAUGAUUACCAAAACAAGUCCAAUAAUGUUUGUAGAGUGCUCAUAAUAAACUGGAACUCUGCUAUGUCCUUUCUCCAAAAUUAAACUCAUCAAUUCCCUGUCCAUAGCAAGCAUGUAAUGGUACCUUAUAAAUCUGAGGGAAAUUGAGAAUGAUCUUAAAUGUCACGUUUCUUGAUAAUUUACAGAAAAUCAUACCUGUCAAGCUUGGCGUUAAUAUCAAUAGCAAAUGUUUCGGAUAUAGGAGUCAUGGCAUCUUUAGCUGUUUUCUCGGAGAGCUCAAGUGCUCCAGCUAUAAUUGUUGUCUCAUCGUGCGUCAGUUCUCCACCUUUUCCAGCCUAAUAAAGGUUCAAUAGAAGGAUCAUAAAUCUGAAAGUUACCAUGAAAGAAAGCAUAUCCCCAAAAGGCAUUGCACUUACAAUGGCAUUGAUUUGAUAAAUGGAAACAACCAAGUAAAUAGUAACUAGAAGAAAGCAAUGUAAACAGCUGUAGAUAAAAAUAAAAAGCUUGUAUGCAAAAACCAAGAAGUUGUUAACCAAACCUCGUUCCCGUGCAAAUCUACUAGGGUUUUCAACUCGGCUCUUCGAAAAAGUGCUACAUGUCCAUGGCCUAGUAAAAAGUCUAACAGCUGAAGAACAGAUAAGAUCAGUCAAGAGAGCAAUUUGCAGCAUUCAAAGUGAGUAUCUAUAGCAACAUUCAUUACCUUGCUUAUUGGGUAUGCAACAGGAAAACAGAUCCAAACAAGAACUUGAACGAAUGGAGCUACAGUUGCACCAAUUGCCAAACCGUAUCGUGAACAGACAGAUUGCGGUAUUAUCUGCACAAACAAUUAAAUUGAAAAUAGGAUUCAGGACAUGCAUAGAACUUCUUGCCUUUUUCUACUAUAGUUGCUCAGCCAAAACUUUAGUAAACGAUAUCAAGUAACACACAUCAAAAUAGUCGAAACACAAAAUGUCAUGUUCAGGGUGUAACAAGGAUUUCUAUUUUCUAUCUCUGCCAAGUUCGAAAGCGCUUCAGCUAAUACGAUCUAAGGUAGAUCCUCACCUCACCAAACAGAAGAAUUAAGGUCACUGAAAUCAAGAUAGCACCCCAAGCGGUGACCAAACUAUCAAGGAAAAUGGGAAGUGCCUGAAAAAAAUAACAAAACAAGUUCCAAACAUUAAUUAAAAAUUUCCAAACAAAACCAUAUCACAGGUCAGGCUGAAGCUGUAUCUAUAAUAUAUAUAUAUACAUAUACCUCCAUUGCAGCAGCAUUGCAUAUAAGUAGUGUACAAAGCAACAAAUGCUGUUUUUUGACAACCGGCAAUAUUUUUUCUGUUUCAAAAUGGGGGGAUAAAAUUAGCUUGUGUACCCUUUUAUCUGACUAUAAUUUCACUAACCAUCACUUAACUAGAUGAUCAAAUUUCAAUUGUGUCAUCUAAUUUUUCAGUCUAACAUUCCAAAUUCAAACCUCGGUCAAAAAAAGGUAAAUUAUUCCAAUCAUUCAAUUAAAGAAGAAGCAAAUGAAAAAGAGUACCAGCAUGUUUACGAUCCUUGGGAGUACCGGACUUGGCAAGAACCUCAAGAUCGACGAGACUCAUUGACAUAAGGCCCAAAGUAAGCCCCGACAUCAAACCCGCGAACAAUACCAACAACACUACUAUUAAUAUGUGAAUAAAGAACUCCAAUUCACAACAACUGUACUCCACCGCCAUUCAAAGUUCUCUCUUUGUAUAAGAAAAACAACCUCACAAAUCAAGCAAAAAUUAAAAUAAAAACUUAGGGUUUCGUUAGAGAUACGAAGAGCAAAGAUGAUAAAGCUCUUCCAUUACGAAAGCAACAUUAGCUAAUAGCAAAAAAACAAAAGAGUAAAGCGAAAUCCCGUCGAAAAGGAUUCGGUGUAGAUUAUUAUGGUUUUUGUGGAUGAAAUUGAAAGCUGAAGCUAAUAAAUGGGAUUAUAAUCUAAACAGCUGUGAGUUUUUCGGUUUUCGAGCUCUAUGAUUAAUUAUUUAUAGUGAUGUUGAGGAUGAUCUUCAUCUACGUGUACUGUUUACUUACAGUUUAGUGUUUUUCUUUUUCCCAAAUGCAACUUAACUCGUCAUUCCAAUUUGAGCUUAAUUAAGUUCGCGAUUCAUUUAAAUUUACGUAUUAUGAUAUUUAAAAUAGAAUUGUUUAAAUUAAAUCGAAUUAAACCAAAAAUCGAUUAUUUUUAUUAAUUUUUAAUAAUUAUUUAAUCAAAUCAGAUAGACCAACUUGCAAACAUUUAAUAGAAUUACUCGUUCAUUUUUAUAUUAAUAUAACAAGUUGCUAAAUACAUAAAAAGAAAAAUGGUCAUUUAAGGCUCUAAAUUCCCGGGAUAAACUUAAACAAAUGUUUACCUUCCUCCCGUGAAAAACAGUGUUGUUUAAUGAUAAAUUUAGUCAUUAAUAUUUAUAUAUUUUGUCAAAAUAAUUGUAAUUAUAUUUUUUUUGCCAAAUUAAAUCCGAUCCAUUAUCAACUCUAACUCUAUUUUUCACUAUAAGACAAAUGAGUUAAAAUUUGUAACCAAAUGACAAAUAAUUUUGUAUGGAAAAGUUAAACCAAAAGAUUGCUUAUAUUUGACAACGUAUCUACCAACCGCAUAUAAUAUUGUCGAUAUUACCAUAAAUCUAUUUUUGGUAAAACCAAUAUUAUAUUACAUGGUAAUAUUAUUUUAUAAGAGAAGAUAUUUUUGCCUUUUACCAAAUGGUAAAAAAAAUGUUAAUUAAUUGAGUUUAAUUCGACUGGUAUAGGCAUUAUUGUUAAUGUAAGAGGAUAUGGAUUCAGUAUCCUCUUAUCAUUUUUAACAUUGUAUUAAAAACAAAUAUAAUCAAAAUUUGUAAUGAAAUUAUUAAAAUAUAUUAAUUCGAGUGUAAUUCGUGAUGUUAUAAGUAUAAUUUUUUUUAAUUUUGUAUUCCCAAUUGAAGAUGAGAUUUGAAUUUAGUCUUAUUUAAUAAAGAUAAAUAUAUACAUCAAAAUGAGGGUUGGACCUUAUCGGAAAAAUAAAUAAAUGUUGAACAGCUACCAUUGAUGUCAAAUUGUGUCUUGACAAUCAAAGGUUAUACCUUUUCAUUUACGUACUUGAAUAGAGAUAUGCCAUGAUGUUGGCAUUGACAAAUGUAAUGCAUGCAUACAUUUUUGUCUAUACCACUAAAUUAAAAAAAAAAUUGAUAACGUGACAUUUUGAUAUUGUGUUCAAUCAUUGUUUAAAAAUUAAAAAUUAUACAAAUUUUCAAGCUAUGGUAUGCUACAAUAUUUGAGUAUUAGGUAUAAUGUUUUAUAAUUGAAUUAGUGGUUGAAUUGAUCAGACCAUUGAUUAUUGAUUCGAUUGAUGCUAGACAAACAAAAAUUAAAUAAAUAUUUAAAAAUUCAUAAAAAUAAAAAUAUUUAUUGAAACAGUUUAACCCCUUCAUUUAAACUACUGCAUUAAUCGAUUAUCAAUUUAGCCGGUCCGACCAAUAACUCUAAUCAUGGUCUAAAAACAUGGUUGAGAUCAUCAACUAGUGAUAUCUUGAUUUCAAAUCAGAGUUUGAAACAGAUUUGAUGUCUUGUUUUAUCUGACAAACAACCAAAUAACAUCAAUUAGGUAAGCUGUCACCAUUUCAGCACUGUCGAGCUUGCGGACCAACUCACAUGAUGUUUCAAUACGACAACUGCAUCAGCAUUGCCUUAUAAUUUUCGCCUCGUCGCUUUUCAUGGUAUUAAUAUGUGUUUUCUAAUCCUUACAUAAUUCUUUUUUAUGAUCUCAAUCAAACUAAUUUUUAUGAUUACAAGUUGCAAGUAAGGACUUGCCGCUCUUACAAUAAAAAUAUUAUCAUUGAAGAUUUUAUUAGGGGGAUUUCAGUAAGGUUGAUUUGGAUCGGAUCUUAGAAUUUUUUUAAUUAAAUACUUAGUCAUGUCUAUGUUGAAUUUGCCAAGGCUUGGUCCAUUGGAGUUCAAGCUCCAACUAGCAUCAAACUUACACGAGUUGGAGCUCUCUUUUAGUGAUUUAAAUAUAUGUUCAUUUUAUAAUUUAUGUUUAAAAUUCGUGAUUGUUUUUUUAAUAAUAUUAUUUUUAAAGUUUAAAUUUAAAUUCUUCUUUUAAAAGUGCAAUAUACGAUGCACGAGUUUAAACUCUCUAACAAAGCCUAAAUAUGCUAGUAAAAAACAAUUGCUCGUGGUAUUCGGGAGAAUCACCUCUUUUUAGCGAAAGAAGCUUCUACGUAGCUCAAAGGCAAUGUGCAAAGCAUGAGUAGCCAAUGGCCCUAACAAAUAGAUUUCGCUAAGGGUUAGAUUUGGGUAGUCAAUACGCAACCCAAAGCGUGUUUGACCUUUGACCUUAGAUAUGAUCAGGAUAUUUAGGGUGUGUUUGGAUUGACGAUUGAGUGUGAUGCAUACACUUAUUUUCAAGUGUUCAUGUGACUCAAAUAUUGACUUAAAAAUCGAAAAGCAUUCAAGUAUCCUAAUUCUUCUUAUUUUCAAGUUUACUAAAAAAUGACAUCAAAUUCGGAUUUGAUAUUUAGUAAAGUUAAAAUACAUGUAUUAGAUUUUCAAUACAUAAUUAUCAAAUGGGUAGUUGGAUUUAACGUCUUAAAAAUGUAGUAUCAAUAAAUAUUUAAAAGGGUUAUUCAUUUCUUUUAAUACGUUAGAUCCAAAUUAUUUAUACAGUAGGCACACACUUAUUUACAAUUUGAUUCAUGGGUCUUAAAUAUUGAGUACUAAAUUAUUACUAAGUUUACGUCUUAGCCACUCAUCUUUUCAAAAAGUUACAAAAUAGUUAUUGAACUUUUCGAAUGUUUUUUACUUACUUCAUUGGGCUGUUAAGUUUUUUUCUUUUAAAGUUCGGUUAGCGAGCUUCAAGUGAUGAUUCGGCAAUCGGUACGAUAGAUCAAUACCCAUUGAUGAGUAAAAUAACAUACUAUAGAUCCAAGUCAAUUUGACGAGUAGUGUUGGAGAUCGGAGGAGAAAAUUGUUUGGGUUUUAGCUCACAUAUUUGUGAUGUUUAAAGUUGUUUCGUAAAAAAAAUAAAUAAAUUGUAGAAAAUAAUGAAAAUAGGAGCUUUUGAUUUGUGUAGGUAAUACGAACAAAAAGUAUAAUUCAAUAACGAUUUUAACAGCUUAUUGAUUUAAAUGAAAGCUUGUAAAUUUUUGAAGUGACCAAAAUUUAAACUUAUUAAUAAUUUAGUUAUUAUAUUUAUCCUUAGUUAUUACUGUAACUUUACAAAGGAAAAGGAAAGAAAAGACACGAGUGCGGUAAGGUAAGCAGGGUCAGGUCCGCCAUAAAAGGUUGCCGGCAUUGGCUUCUGGCCAUGUUGGAGCCUGAGACAAGGAAUCUUCUCUGUCUCAUCAACCGUGUCAACUCAGACAAAAACGGGAGUGUCAUAAGAAAACUGAGUCCAAAAGUCUUAAACGCGAAUUCACUGUUUACUCCUAUGAAGCAAUCCAUAACCAUGGUAAUUUUAAAGGGGUUUUUCUUCUUCUAUAAAUGCAAUGAGAUCUGAUUCCCGAUAACAUGAGUGCUUUAAUUGUAAGAGCAUAAAAAAUAGUUAUUUGGUGGCCCUUGGAUUUUGUGAAGGGUAAUUGAUGUGAUUAAUGUUGUUAUUGGAGCAUGAUUGAAUUGGUAGGUUAAACUGAUUUGAUCGUAAAUCAAUUAAUUUAUACUGAUUGAAUUGAAAAUUGCUUGAAACAAGUAAAAGUCGAAAGUUGAGACAAAAACUAAUAAUUGAAUAAAUUUAAUAUAUAUCUUUUAUAAUUUUUAAUUAUUUAUUUAAUUAGUGUUUAUAUAACUGUUGAACCGAUCAAACCGAUUGAAUUAUGAACCAGUGGUUUGAUCAGUUCAAUUAUUAGUUUAGUUGGUAGAAUAUUGUAUGUGACACUUCGAGAUUAUAUCACGUCAUCACCUGAAAAUUUAUAUAAUUGUUUUAAUUUUCAAGUGAUGAUGUGGCACAAUAUCAAACUAUCAUACCAUCAAACUUUUGUAUUUUUCAAGUUUAAGGACCAAAAUGAACUUAGUUGCCAAAUUCAGAGGUAAAAUUUAUAUUGUCUUUGUUAAGAAGAAUAAUCAUGAUUUUCAAAAAGGAUUAAUCAAAGACCAAAGGAGAGUGCGGAAUGGGAAAACUUUAUUCUAAACUCUCAAAAUUUAUAAAAUUAUAAUUUAAUACAUGAUAAAAUAAUAAUUUGACUCUCAAAAUAAUAAAAUUUUGAUUUAAUCCUUCUGAAAACUAUAAAAACUAUAAAUUAAUAUAAUAGUAACUUUCUAAAAAUACAAAAUAUUGCCAAAAAAAAAAUUCAUAACUUGACUCCUAAAGUUCAUAUUUAUGGAUUGUGGGGCAGAGAAUCUCAAACAAAAUGUCAUUUUGGAUUAAUCCAAACUAUAUUUUUGGACCCUCAUUAAAUUCAUUUGAGUGCAUCCCCAAUAUCAUGUUAUGUGUGGGAUCUUCGGCCAUUGUUAUUACGUCCAUAAGAUCCUUGCCCCAAGGGACAAUGAGGCCCAUGCACUAACCAACCUUUGAGUUUUUUUAUAGCUUCCAUUAAAGGCUACAAUUUUGAAAAAUGGAGUUGUUGAGAGGAAUAAUCUUGAGUAUAAAUAAUAAAACGAAUGUUGAGAAAAUUAAAAAAAAAAUACGGAUUUUUGUAACAGUUUAAUAUUUGAUAUAUUACCUCUAGAAAAUUUUAAUUACAUAAGAAAAAUUCAAUUAUAGUUAUAUAUAUGUUUAUUUUUUUGGAUGAAUGAUGAAAUCUAUUAAUCCAAUAAAGCAGUUAAACUGCUAUAAAAGAGUACUAUACGGUAACUAUACUUUAAGCUAUACAACAAAUUAACCAACGAUACCCUAAGAAACACAAAGCGAGCCAAAAAUUAUAUUAUAUUAAAGAAAAAAAAUACUCUAUACACGGUAAGUGAAAUUCGAAAUCUUUUGACCCAAAUAGUAGCAGUUAAAUUUGUUUGGUUAAAUUCAAAUACUAAUCCAUUUUCUAUAAUUAGAUCAUUCUAAGUUCCUACACUUUUUUAAUUUAAAAGUUUCACCCUUAACACCAAUGACAGAAGUUACUCUAUUCACUUGAUUUUUAGUGAAUAAUAUGUGAAAAUAAUAAACUAACAUGAUAAUACACAUAUGAUAAUAUGUUUGGCACGCCAGAUUUCAGAAAUAGCAGAACUAUGUUUAACGAAUUUAACCAUUAUUGUUUGGUGAAUACUGAAAUUUUAAAUUUUAAAAAAUACAGAGACUAAUAGUAGAAUUUAACUAAAAUAAAAUAUAUAACUAUACAUAAAUUUUCAAAUUUAGGGACUAAAAUGAACUUAAUUAUUAAAUUUAAAUCUUAAAAUGAAAAAAAAUUAGAUACCAAAAUAAACCCAAUAAUUUUAUUAUAAAUCCUUAAUAAAAUACACAACGGAUGGAAUAAGGAAAGCAACAUUCGCGUUGAACAGAAAGAUGGCUUUUCAGUUUAGCUUAAAUUUGCACGAAAUUAUUAGCACAAUGAUAUAAUAAUCAAGUAUUAUAUUCUGAUCCGGUUCUAGUUUUUCUUUUUAAAUAAUUAUGGUCAAAUUUUGGUUUUAGUCCCUCCAUCAUGCUUAAAUUUAAUUUUUAGUUUUUCAAACUUACAUUAUUUUGACAUAAUUUAGCAAUCAAUUUUUAUAAUAUCAUUAACUAUUGAUGUUAAAAAUGUAAAUAUUUUCCUAAAAACACCCAAAAAUGAAAUGAAUUUUUAUAAUAUCAUUAUUUAAUAAUGUUAUUAACAAUAUUUUUUUUAUGAUAUUGAUAAAAUUUCAAGACAUUAAAUAAUUAAAAAAAAGGGAUAACGUUUUUGUCUUAAAAAAAUACACGAGCAAUAAUUUAAUAGUGAUAGAUAGCUAAUAUGAAUAUGAAAUUAAAAUAUUUUUUAGCUUAAGUUACAACUUUACCCCUAAAACAUUUAUUAUUAUUAUUUUGAUAUUCCCAUUUUAUUACAUUUUCAUCCACAACUAACUUUUUUUUUAAUUUAAGAUAAACCUUUUUAAUUUAGUAAUUAAAUAAUGUUAUUAAUCAUUGUACUUUGUGAAAGUUGUAAUUUGAAUAAUUUUAGUUUAUGUAGUUUUCGAAUUGAUCAAUUUUAGUCCCUGUACUUUUUUCGAAAUUCAAAAAUUUCGUCCUAACCAAAUGGUAUCAUUUAAAUCUAAUUGGUAGUAGUCAUAUACUAUGCGUACAUUUGUAGAUUUAGUCUAUAUUCUCCAAUCGGAUCUUUUUAAGUCUUUAGUGUGCAAUAUAUGGAAAUAAGAACUAACAUGAUAUUACAUAUAUGAUAAUAUGUUCCACACAUCAGAUUUUAGAAAUAAUAUAACUUAAUGAAUUUAAUAGUUGUCAUUUGACCAAGAGUAAAAAUUCAAAUUUAGAAAAGUACGGGAAUAAAUUUGACCAAAUUAAAGUAUAAGUACUAAAUUUAACACUUUCGCAAAGUAUAGGGACUAAUAGGUAAAUUUAAUUGAUUAAAUAAGGGUAAACUACAUUAAGGUCACUAAACUAUUAGUAAAUUUUCAUUUAAGUCAUUGGACUGUUAAAAUUGCUAUUGUGUGACCUCCUCCAUUUGCACUAAUUAAAAACUCUUCUUCCUCUUUACUUUUAAAGUUCAUUUUUUUCAUGGAAUAACUUUAAACAUUGUGAACUUGUAAACCAAAAUCCACCAUACCGAUAAUUGUAUGGUCUCUUGGAAUUCACUAGCUAAACUUAAAAAAAACUUAAUAGCAUCGUGAUUUAAAUAAAAACAAUCGAAUAGCUCAAUGACUUAAAUAAAUUUUUUUGAAUAAUUCAGUGACCAUUUUGUAACUUUUUGAAGUUGAGUGACCAAAACGUAAAUUGACUAAUAGUUUAAUGACCAUGGAUGUAGUUUACCCAUUAAAUAAUGAGUUAAACUAACUUUUUUUUUUUUGAGGGGUUGAGGGACCAAAAGGGAAAUCUUGGCGGCGAGAAGAAUAGUACUGACUAGUGGGUGUAAGGGAAAUUUUGAGGGGUUCGUCUUGGAUCCAGAAGAAGAGGGGGCAGUGAGAAAACUGUGAAAGACUUUCCCUUUACCUCAUCUCUCUCUCUCUCUGUCUCACACACACACACACACACACUUGAAACCAUUUUUUUGUGUUACACAUUUGACUGCUUUCAUCUUUUUUAUCUGCAAGUCCCUUUUUUUUUCUCCAGGUAUUUAUUUAUUUUGGCUUCAUCAUCCAGUUUUGUUUGGAUCUUGUGUACUUUUAUUCAUCAGCUUUAGCAAGUUCUUUUGUUGUAGUUACAGGCUUACAGCAUGAUUUUUUUCUUCAUAUUUUGAUUCUUUGUUUUGGUUACUAUUUUUUUUUUGGGGGGGCGGGGAGGGGGAAUGGUUUUUUGUUUAUGAAUAUCUAAAUUUGUUGGGUGUUUUUGUUGUUGCUUCACUGUGCUGUUAUUUAGGGCUUCCAUGGAGGGGUUUCCUUUCAUUUGAGCAAAUAUCCCUUUUUUUCACUUUAAAAAUAAAUCUUUAUAAUUUUUUUGAUAGCUUGUGAUGUGGAUUUGAACUUGGUUCAUUCUUCAUUAAUGGAGUUGAACCAAGGGGUUUUGCUUAAUUUGCAGAGGAACUGCUAUUUCCUUUGAUAUAUUUCAUAUAUCCGAAGUUCUUUCAUAUGCUAAAGCAUUCUUUAUACCAUAUGAGACUGUAAAUAUCACUAUAAUUCAAUGCCAUGCAUGGUUUCAAGAUGGAUUAGUUUGGAUUCUUUGAUUGUUAAAUGAGAUGGCUUGGUUCUAGCAGUUUAGUACCUUGAAAUAACAUUGAAACCUAUUUGUUAAUGCUAGUAUUGAAAAUAUAAUGAGAGAUGCUAUGAUGGAAAUGGUUUAAUGCAUCCAUAGGUCUCAGAAGAAGUGGAGUGAACUUCUUCCUGGGUCAUUUGGACUGAGUUCGAUUCUUAGAGUCAUUACUCAUUACUAUUGGGAGGACUUUACCUGAACACCACCCCGGAUUGAACAAGAUUAGUCUCAGCUCGUAAAACAUAUGAGGACACCAAUAGGUGGUUGGAAGAAUUGGAGUGGAUAUUUUCCCGAGUCAUUUGGACUGAGGUCGAUUCUUGUAGUCGUUAAUAUUGGGAGGGCUUUACCUGAACACCACCCUAGCUUGAACAGGAUUGGUCUCAGCCCAUAAAACGGACCUGAGAUAAAUAAAAGAGAAAUGGUUUAAAGCAAAAUUUCCUAAUGUCCCUUCUUUCCCACUUCAUUCAAAUCAGUCUGUGCUUCUAUCAUUUAUAGGUGGCUAGUAAUGAACUUAGAAAACAACCAGUUUAUGUGACGGGUUUCGAAAAAAAGGUCAUAAAAUUUGCCUGUUCUUUUGAUUUUUUUCACAUGUUCUUGAAAAGGACACUUCCUCCUUAAGAAAUCAUAUCGAAAUCUUAAACAAGACACGUGAUCUUGUUUGUUUGUUUGACAUCACUUGUUUUGACUCUUAGUUUCACAAGUUAUACAAGAACAAGUAUACUUUUUCCUGUAAGAAUUUGAAAGUUGCCUCUUGUUCUGUUAUUUUUGCUGAAUGAAAGUUGAGCAUAUUGAUUUCAACUAGUUGUGGUAUUGCGGUUCCAUGUCAGUAUAGGCAUAGAUUGCAUUGUUUCUGAAUUGGUUUUAUGUCAAAGAUAUUGCUGAGAAUUUGGGUACUUUAUAAUUUAGCAUUCGGAUAUGAUUUUGGUCACUCAAGUAUACAUGCAAUUUGAUUUUUCAAAUGGUUAAUCAGUCCUUUUAAUCAAUUUUCAGUCAAUAUAUAUAAAGGAAGGAAAUCGCUGUUGGGGGGUCUUUGGAUUUCCAUCAUGUUCAAGAAGACAUCAAGUAGAAACCAAAGAUCGAAAGGAAUCAGGAUAAAACAUGUCCUUCAGAUUUGUCUCUUACUCGGGGUUUGCUUCUGGUUAAUCUACCAAGUCAAGCGCUCGCAUGAUAAGAGAAAAGAAUUUGAUGCAAAAGAUGCUAAAGUCUCUGUGAAAGAACAAGCCGAUGAUUUGAUCUUAAAAUUCGGGAGGAAAGACCUACCUCACGUGCAGGAAGCAUCUAAGAACUUCAAACACGAAGAAGAGGAAGAAGAAAAUGUGAUGGAGGAUGAAAAUAAGCACGAUGAAGAACAGGAAGAAAAAACUAAGAGGCUAGAAGAAGAGGAGCAUGAAGGAGCAAUAAAACACGAAGAAGAGGAACGGGUAGAAGGAAUCAAACGUGAAGAAGAGGAGCAGGAAGAAGGAAGUAAACACGAAGAAGAGGAGGAAGAAGAAACAAACAAACAUGAAGAAGAAGAAGAGGCUGAAGAAGUGCGGAGCAAGCAUGAGGAUGAAGAGCAAGAAGCUGAAAUUAAGGAUGAAGAAGCGGAAGAUGAAGGAAAAGUAGUUGGAGAUGAUGAGGUCGAUGAAAACGAGCAAGAAAGAGCAGAUGCUGAAGUUGGUAAUGAAGAAGAAUUAAUGGACGAGGAGAAAGAGAGAGAAGCCGAGGGUGAUGAUAAAGAGAACGAGGAAAAAGAGAGUCAUGAAGAAAAUGAGGAGUUAGCAAAUGAUCAGAAUGCCGAUGGAGGGGAUAGGGAUACACACGAGGCAAGAGAGGAGCAAUACAAGGGAGAUGAUGCUUCCAGUGCCGUGUCCCACGACACACAAAUUACUACCUCAGAAACUGACAAAUUAGAAAUGGAAAAUCCUAAUGACAACUUAACAACGAAUGUUUUGGAGCAGGAGAGCAAAGCCAAUGCUACUGAGAAAACCGGUGGUGAUGAAAACAAGUCCGAAGGUAAACAAUCUGAAGGUGGUAGCUCGUCUACUGGUGAUGAAAACAAGUCAGAUUUGAAGGCCGAUGAAGGUAAACAUUCCGAAACUGGUAGUUCCUUGAACAUGACGGACAGUAAAGAAAAUGAUCACGACACUGGAUCAUCAAACUCUGAGCAUAUCUCUCCUCAAAACACAACAGACACAACCGAGCUCAUUGUCCAAGCAAGCAAUAACUCUACGGAAGAGAGUAAAGAAACCAACAACGAGGCUGCAAAAGAAAUUCCAGGUUCACUGCAAAACGGGACUUCUGCUUUAGAUACAACAGGAGGUGGUAGGGUUAUUGAAGAAAUAUAUAAAGAAAAAGCCAAUGAGACCGUAGUAGAUGCAAGCAAGAUCGAGAACGUAGUAAAUGUAACAACCGAAGGUAAAGGUUUUGAAUCUUCCACGACUAAGGAGACUACUGAUAAUGAGAAACAAGGUGACAAUGAAUCAAAUGGAAAAGAUGAAAACGAAGACACUUCUUCCUCUAAUGAGACUGUGGAUGGAAAUCAUAACGACCCCAUUGAUACUUCCGACAAUUCGGUUUCACAAGAAGAGAAAGGUACUGAAAUAGAUUUGAGUACAUUGCCAGAUACUACAAUGGAGGGGGCGGCAAAUGAAGAUAGUGUAGCUGAAUAAAAGUUCUGGUUAUAUAAAUGGUUUGUUCAGUUUUUGUGAACUGCUUUAAAGCUGGUAAUGUUUUUUUAGAGAGCUUUGUUUCUACUUUAUUUAAAUAUCAAACUAUGUUUACAGAAUACGGUUUCUUCUUUAAAAAUCAAAAUGUGUAGACUAUUAUAUUAUGUUGUUAGUGGAUGCAAUCUGUAUAAUUUGUGGCAAGUUCUUUUAUGUGAAUAUUAUUUUUCUUUUAAAUCUUUCAUCUUCCAUUUGUUUGGCAUGGCUUAAUGCAUGAGUGUGGUGUAGUGGCUAAAAGACAGGGCUUAGUGCAUGACAGCAUGAGUGGUGAGAACAAUGCAGGUUGUAAUUAGAUGUCAAGGUGGUGGUGCAGUGGCAAAAAAACAUGCAGUCAAAAAUUAGUGUAGUGGCUUAGUAAGUUAGACUUGCUGCAAAAACGCAAAAGCUGUCAGAAGUGAGAUUUGAACCCACGCCUUCUCACGGAGACCAGAACUUGAGUCUGGCGCCUUAGAUCACUCGGCCAUCCUGACUUGAUGAAAAAGACCUGUAAAUUAUUUUAUAAGAUAAUUUCAUAUUUUUUUUCUUUGUUUACUGCUAUCUGUGAUCUCAUUUUUAUAUUCAUUAAUAAAAAUUUAGGAAUACAUUAGUAGUCAUCCAACUAUUAGUAAAUUUUGUUUUGGUCAUUAAAUUAUAAAAGUUACAAAAAUAAUCAUUCAACUAUUCGAUUUUGUUGUUUUUGGUCAUCAACCGGCUAACGGUGAUAUUUUUAAAAUUAAUAUAAUAGCAACUUUAACUCUCAACAUUUAUAAUUUACAUCAGUUUAGUCUUGAUUUUUAUAAAAAAUUAGCCCUAAAUAUUUACAUAUUUUGUAAUUUGAUUUAUUGUUUGCAUUAUUGCUUCUUUGUGACAUUGGAGGUUAAAUUGUUUUUGUUAGUUUUUUUGGUGAAAGGGUCAUGUAGAAAAAUAAAACUGUAAAUAGAGAUCAAAUUACACAAUACAUAAAUGUUGAAGGUAUAAAGAUGAAAUCACUAAUAAUUAAAUCGCUAUUAAUUUCUAUUUCAUUUGAGGGGAAAUAAGAAUCAGACAGUAUCCAAAGCCUGAGAUCCCUGUCAUGUUACAAGAAAUCUUGAAAGAAAAAACACAGCCUCAAAUUGUUAAAGACAGGCUGUUUAGUAGGGCAAUGUAUGAGAAUUUUAAUGAUGACAGAGAAAGAAAACUUUUCACACCAUUUAUCCACAUGAUCCCUUUUCUGCUACUAAUUGAGGCCACAAAUCCAGGCCGAGAUACAUGCUUGGCAGCAGAUUUAACCUCACUAAUUGCAGGUUACCAAAUGCCAACCUGCUUACAUGACAUUCUCUAUUUAGUCACAUUAACAGCCUUACACCCUUUUGCUGAGAAGUAAAGCGUAUAUGGAUGGCUAGAAAAGUAAACUAGUGUAGAAAAUAGUUGAAUUUGUAUUCAGCUUUCAAGGUUCUUUUCAAGUUGAUGUGAAUUAUACUUCAACACCAUCCAUAUUGUCCAUGUGCAUGAUCAACGUAAUGCGAGAGGCAUGGUCUAAUCUUUUACCAAAAAUCUUAUUACAGGUCCAAUAAUUGCAGUAUGUCUAGUUGUUAAAGGCAGUAUUAGGUGCAGGAUUCAAUUUCAAAAGGUGUAUCAUAUACACCAGAAAACAAGGCUCAUAAAAUUUUCAAAUGAACUGAUAUAUAGAGUAGAAAUAGGUAAAAAGUAUCAUGGAGGCUUUUGUAUUAAGAGUUAGUUCUUGUACGUUAAAAAUUUCAUCUAAUUGUACUGUUAAAAACCCGGCUAAUGGAAUAACAAGACAAUGACAUGUGACGUGCUAUAUGUAUCUUAUGUUGACAUAUAGAGACCAAUGUAUAAUACUAAAAUGAAUGAAAGUUUUAAUAAAAAGAUUAGUUUACUCUUUAAUCUAACUUAAAAGGGAUUAAUUGACUCAUGUUAAAGGAUUAGUUUGCUCUUUCACUGUAGCUGCGAAAGAAGGUAACGGCUGAAAGAUUCUUGAUGGUCAUGGUACCAAGAAAUGGCCAAAAGGCUAUGUGAAUGACGUAAAAGUAACCAAGUAGCGGGCUUUUUUUCAAAGAUUAAAUGCACACAAAUAGCAUAAGUGAACCCACCAGUAUCAGCUGCCAACUUAAAGCCUUCAUAAAGGGAUGAAAGAGAUGUUGUGUGUUUUCUCCUCAUUUGGAAGACCUCACCAUAUCACACAUGGAGACUUCACCCAUCAGUUUUAGGGGUAAUCUGGUCACCAUCUCACCCUGUCAAAUGUUGUAUGGCUAUAGAUACAUGGUCCUCACACGCCCUACACAUGUCUCACGGGACUUGGAGAGCUAUAGUAGCCUUUCCCCAUACCUUAUGGGGUUCCUCAUUCUUUCAACACGAGAAAACCAUAAGUGAAAGCACCUAUGACUCUCGGCCUCGGAGUGUACCGCCAUCAACAAUCAAACCCGUAUUUGAACCCUUUUUAUUCCUCCCUUGGCCGUCCUAUUGGUCACAGAUAAAAACUUUUAGCAUAAUCAAUGAGAUUUAUAAGGGAGUAAGGACACAAGUUAUAGGGACUUUGAUGCAUAUCUCCAAUAAAUUUUUAGAUUCUAAUAUGCCAAAAAUUUAGCUACUUUUUAAGAUUUGGUACACUAUAAAAGCUAAAAUAUGCCAAAAAAAUGCUUCUGAAAUAUCCAAGAACUUAAGUAUUCAUAUGCUUUCUUUUUCGGUUUGAUCAAAAUAGUCCUUGGCCUUUCACUAUCCAAUAAAAGCUAGUCCUAUUAUUAGCCUCAUCUUAUAUUCAUAUCUGCACCCACUAAUAUGAAACUCCAUUGAAGUUGAUGAACAUUUGAUUGAUUUUGCUUAUAGUAGCAGGAAAAAAAGUUCAACAAAUAUUACCCAAGUAAUAAAUGUUGCAUUAUGAAAAAAAUUAAGUCUUUGGAGGACUAAAUCUGCUUCUACAUUAAUCCUUGCAACUUGACAUGUGGAUUUUCUUCAAUCCAACACUUCCACAUGUCCAACAUAGGAUUCCCAGUCACAAUAAGUCAUAUAUUAUAUAUGGUUAAUAUAAUAUUUGAUCUCUAAAUUUAAUUUUAAUGUUCAACUCGAUACGGUUUUUCCAAUUUGAUACUUUUUUUAACAGUUAAACACUUAAAUUUGGCUUCAAUAUUCAAUUGGGCACCUGAGCUUUUUUUUUUGUUCCAAUUAAGUACUUAUAAUUUAAUUUAGGUACCAAAUCAAACAUUGAAGCCAGACUCAAAUACUAAACCGUGAUGAAGAAAACUCAAGUUUCAAAUUGGAAAAACUCAGAUACCAAUAGAGGCGAAUGCAAAGGGGGCAGGCAGGCCCCUCCCCCAAUAGAAAAUUACAUUUCAGCUACCGUAUGAUAAAAUUAUACUCUGACCCUCAAAAUAGAAAAAAAAUAUUUAGUUAUUUAAAAAAAUAUGAAACUAUAAACUAAUGCAUGGUAAAAUUAUAUUUUGACCCUUUCUAAUUUUUUUUUUCUAGAUUCACGGUUGAAUACAAAAUUAGACUUUUAAACUAAACUCAAAUACUUAAGUAUAUCGAAAAAAUAUUAUGUACUAAAACAUUAAAACUAAGCUAAAAAGAAAAGGAUAAUAAGGUAUUAUCUAUAAUAAACAAGAAAGAUGAAGUAGAAAAAGUUGAAUAAAUUUGAGUAAUCACAAGGAAUUUAAUUAAAUUAAAAAAAAGGGAAAAAGUAUGAAUGCCAUGUCCGCACUGUACAAAUAAUAAUUAAAAAAAUCCAGCUCAAGGGAUUUGCUGUUAGUUUAUCUGCCGAAUGAAUCAUCCCCCAAAAAGAACACCUCAGAUCAGUUUUACUUUAACCACUAAAACCAAAACCUAGACACGACAAGAAAAUUCCCACCACCCCCACUAGAUUAAACGACAAAGUUCUGAGUUUGCUGUUGCCUCAGUUCUUUCCUUAGCUUUUGAUUAAAAGACCGACAAGCAUCCAUACUUAGAUCCAUAGCCGCUGCUAAUGCCACGAAAGCUGCUGCAUCCUCCGUGCAUGUCACGUGAUGCACCCCUACUUCCACUUCCGGUUUACUACAUUUCCCCGUUCCUUCCACCGUUGAUGACAUCACGAACCCUCCCCUGAAUUGAUUUUGCGGCGAAAACCCGAAAUCUGAUCCUGAUCCGGAUCCUGGUCUUGACCCGGAACGUGAUCCUGACCCGAAAUCACCACUGCUUUGUGGACUUAUUAAUGGGGUUGAUAAACUUGUCAUAUCCACGGUGAAUUUCCCGCCAAGUUUGGUGUUGAUGGUGGAGCUGGCGACGGUGGAUGUUACUCUUGCGGCGGUAGUGAUAUCGUCGUGGAAGAGGUCGAAUCUGUAUCCAAUGGCGUCGGUGAAACUAGGUUCACGCCAAGCUUCGAGACGACCCCAAGGUUUCCAUGUUCCACAACCUGGUCUGAGAAUUAACCAUGCACCGGGGUUGGAUUUUGUAACCCUGUCUGAACCAGGAGAUGGUACGAAGGGUGUCACCAUUGACGCCAUUGCUACCGGUGAACCAGUAAGGUUAUGGAUUGUAAUUGACCACCCUUUUCGUUCUUUAGAAGGCUGGUCUUUAUCUGUUUUUAAUGAACGUAGCCAUUUCCUUGGAGCUUUUGAUUCAGACAAAGAGGAUCUGCACAAUAACAUAACCAAAAAUCAAAACUUUAUAAUGUAAAAGAAGAUCCUUUGAACUUUAUAUAAUAAAAAAAGCUUACCUUGAUCCUAGGUUUCGGUCGCUUGUGUUUCUAAAACCAAACUUGCAAGUAAAAACAGCUUGUUUAACACUUCCUUGAACUUGAAAAACCUGUGGACUACAUUCAGGUUCACCACCGAACUGGAACACGAAUCUUGGGUCUCGUUCGGUUCUAACCGUUAAACACAACUGUAAAGAUGACCCAUUUUUGCCUAUAGUAACCCAUCCAUUGUGAGCCACACACGGCCUUGAUUCAGCUCCGCGUAGAUCCAACGGCACCGAGACCUUCCCUAGUAAUUUCCCGGACGACAACCCACACGUACUGCCGCUUCCGCUGCCACCGGCGUAAACCUCGAUGGAAACUUUAUACGACGAACCCCAUUUCGAGACGAUGUUAUCGAUCUGAGACUUGCUAAGACUAAAACAAGCAGCCAACGGUUUCUGAGAAGAACAGCUGUUGGUUUCUAUGUCUUGUUGUGGGAUUGUAGCUACUUGGUGUGGGAAGUUCUUGAGUUUAAUCUUGCAAUAACAUGAAGAAGAUGACUCUGUUGAUGGGAAUUUUAGGGCUAAAUUACCCACCAGGAUCCUUACAAAAUGGCAGGGAUCCAUUUAAAAGUUCGGGUUUUUUUUUUUCCUUCUUCUUUGGGAUGAGGAAUUUUUUGGACCUAUGGGGGAGGGAUUCAAAAUAAAGAGAUUUUAAGAGCAAAACGUAAGCAAAAAGAAAACGAGAAACCAGGCUGUAAUAUUAGCUGGGGGGUUACUGCAGACAAGGGAAGGGGACAAGGAUGUGGAGCCAGCCAAGAACCAGGUGAGGUCAAGCUCAGCAUCACGCCUUUGGGAUUAAACCCCUCCACUGAGAUUUUUCAGUUUUUUAAAGUGUCCAUUUUAGUGUUCUUUUUAUGAUAACAAGGGAAAACUUUUUGGGUAAAUUCAAUCUAAGGUCACUAAACUAUUAUAAGUUUACUUUUUGUUUACACAAUUUCAAAAUGUUACAAAAUGAUCAUUGAACUUAAGUCAUUCGGUUGUUAAGUUUUUUCUUUAAAAAGGCCCAGCUAGCAUGCUUCAAGCAAGUAAUCAAUAUCCAUUAACAAGUAGAAGAAUAACAUACUUUAAAUUUAAGUUGAUCUAACAAACUAAACUGUUAAAAAAAAAGGGACAAGAAAGCUUUCAAUUUUUGUAGGUGACGCAAAUGGAAAAGGGUAUAUAACAACGAUUUUAAACUUUGUAACUUAAAUGAAAAUUUCGAAUAAUUCAAUAACUAUUUUGUAAUUUUUUGAAGUUGAGUGACCAAAACGUAAACUUACUAAUAAUUUAGUUACCUUAGAUGAAAAUUUCCCAAAAUUUUUUAAUGAUUUCUGUGGAACAGCUAAGCUAACAUUGUUUUUUCAAUUUUUUGCUUACUCAAAAAGAAAGUUUUUAUUAACUAAUUAAUACUGAAACUUUCCUGCUUUAAAACGAUAAACAAAAAAGUCUAAUGUGAUUAGUGGAUAUAAUUAAUGUGCACAUAACCAUCAUAAAGAAAAAUGAAACCAGAACCAGCUCAAGCCAAAAAUUCAAUAUUUUUUCUGCUAUUAUUUAUAUUUUUAAUCUUAUUUUUGAGUUUUAAAAUUUCACCCGACUCAAUUUAUUUGGUUAAAUUUUAUUAUUAAUAGUUUACUAUGCAUAAAAUUAUACAUUUAUUGUAUAUUUUCCAAUUUAAUCAUUUUUAAUUUCUAUAAUCUUUUUUAGUUAGUGAACUAUAACGCUCAACCGAUAACAAUAGACUUGUUACUCAACACUUAUCUUUCAAUAUUAUAUUUUGCAUCGUCAAAGGCAGCUGUGAGAAAAAAUAAAAACCUACUUGAUAACACCUUACUGCUUUGUGUAUAGUAUCAGUAGCCAUAUUCGUUGUUCGUGAUAAAUGUUGAAUCUCCACUUGUCAAUCCCUCUGAAUUGCAAACCUUUGAUGUCAAUCUGGACGAUUAAGUUUAUUAUUUGAUUUUUUUUGAAUAAUAUAUGAAAAUAUUAAGGUGACAUAUGCAUUAUACUUAUACAUCGGAUAAUUUAUUUGCUGCCACAUAAGACUUUUGAAAAAAAAAAAACCUUAAUGAAUUUAACAUCAACUUUUUGAGUAGUAUUGAAAUUUCAAAAUUUAAAAAGUUAUAAAUUUAGUUCAUGUUAUCCAAUUUAGUCAUUUUUUAUUUUUAUGUUUUUUGAACAUUUUGAAAUUUUAUUCUUACAGAAACGAAAACUAUUUAUCCCAUUAACGGACUUUUUUGUGAAGGGUAAACUAGUAAAAUAGUCACUUUUGUUUACCCCAAAUUACAUUUUAGUCACUUUUGUUUGAAAUGUUACAUUUUAGUCAUUUAUGUUAACAUGUUCUAACAUCUGAGCCAUUAAUUAUCGUUAACGAUGUAACGAUAAGCUGAUGUGUCAUGUUAAAUAAUCAUUUCAAACAAAAAACUUAGGUUAAAUUAUAUAAUUGGUCCCCAUAUUUUUUUUUGUUUUGAGCACUUUAAUUUUUUACUUUUAUGAUAUUUUGACUUUUUUUAUUCUCUUCUGCUUUUUACUCUGUUUUCUUCCAUUCUCCAUCACUUUUAAUUAUUUUUUUUAUAUUUUCCAUUUGUUAAAAUUAAACGGGAAGAAGAAAAGGAAAAUAAAGAAAUAAAAAGAAAAAAAAUUAAAUUAUUCAAAAAAAUAAAAGUAUAGAGACUAAUUUUAAUAAAUGAAAAAUAUAAAAAAACUACGUUAAAAUAUACGAAGAAGAUAAUAGAAAAUAAAGAAAAGAAUUAAAAAGAACACAAAAAGAAAAAAAAAUUAAAAUUAUUCAAAACAAAAAAGAUAUGAGGACUUUUUUGAAUAUUUUAAAAUUGUAAAUUUAUAGAAACUACAACUAUUUAUUCCAUUAAAUUAUUUUUUUAACAAUAUGCAAAAAUAAGAGAAGUUUCAAAAAUUCGAAAAAAGGAAAAAAAAGAACACUAAAAUAAAAUAUAAACUAAUAGUAGAAUUUACCCCUAAAAUUUCACCAUACAUGGGGAAUGGAUAGGCUCUGAGGAAUUGAUUACAAAUACAAAGAAAUGAGCUGGCUCAUAAUGCAAACGACAAGUAGAUACAUACAA
rnacentral:lncRNA from 1 species